rnacentral:lncRNA from 1 species
GCACCAAGAAGCUUCUUCACUCCUGCACAGCAUGGCGGUGGAGGACUGGCAUUAUUAGGAGCUUGAAGAUAAGUAAGGCAUGGAGCCAAAUCACCGGAUACAGUUCCACAUGACAAAGCAGCUUCUGCCAUAAGCUUGAAGAUAAGUAAGGCAUGGAGCCAAAUCACCGGAUACAGUUCCACAUGACAAAGCAGCUUCUGCCAUAGGCGCAAUAACUACCAUGCACAUCACCAAAGCAACACAUGCUAAUUUCAUGCUUGUUGCCAUUUUUGUUUUCUUUGUUUUCUAUUCUUUUUCUUAGUUUGUUUGAAUGGUGUGUAAUGUCUUUGUGGGAGGGGGUUUAUAUAGAAAAUAAGAUAAGGUUUGAAGAUGAGUAGAUUGAUGAAUUUUUUGUGAAUGUGCAUAAAAAUUAGGUGGUAGUUGUGGUUUGAAUUAAUGACGUAUGGUCCAUUAUCUAUAAUUAUUGAGCAUUUGUCUCACUAUCUUUAAUUUAUUAUUUAAUGAUAUGGUACACAGUUAGAUUGGACGAUAAUUACUGUAGUUUCCGAAUUCAAUUUUCCACCCUCCUUCUUUCUCUUCUCUAUUUUAUCGGUGCUUUCUGCGCUUUGUAUGAUUUUUAACUUUCUUAUAUAGGAUUAUCUUAUUAAUACUACUAUUUUAAAAUUUAGUAUAUUUUUUUAAAAGCAAAUAUUAAAAGAGGGUGGGAUAUAUAGAAUGAAACUUGUUUCGCCAUAGUUUUGAAUGGUUUUAGUGUUAUGAUUCGAGAUUUUGAUCUUAGGGGUUUUAUUAGAAAGGACAUCGUCCCUCCUAAAGUACGUGUUUUGUCUAAUGCCUCUUUAGAAAAAAUGUUCAGAACAUGUAUGUGAAAUUUUACAUGACCAUAGGAUAGAAAGCAAUUUUGGAUUGUUUGAAAGCAGCACAUGUUCAAAAUUUCCUCCUUGCUAUUAUUAUUAAUGGUCAUGCCAACAUAUGACCCUGAUAGAAUAUCAUACAAUUCUUAAAUAUCGAUUUAUGAUUCCCUUAUUUCUUGUCGACAAAGUUUUCUCUGUUUUUCGUAAGGUGUGCUUGGAUAUAUUUGGGGUGUCAUUUGACAUACUUUGGCGUGCCACGGUACCUGUGAAGAAAGAGUCACAUGUGAAUUUUUGUACUGACCACGUGAGGGAUGAUCGACACUUAGGCCAACAAAUGUUUUAGUGUACGAGUGGAUAGGAGAGAAACAUGCAUAUGUAGACUUGAUUUCAGUUUUGACAAACAUUUUAAAAAUAAAUCGAACACGCUAGGUUAAAUUACACGAAACGUAGAUUAAUAAAAUUGAUGUUUGCAAGCUUGAUUUUGAAAAUUUUCGUCAACUAUUUUGACACACAUUUUACAAUUGAUUCAACCGAUUUUCCUGUAGAUACAAAAAUUUAUUUCGACUGACAUUCUAGACAUUAUGCGGUAUGAAAUACAUGUUAUGUUAUGCAGAGAUGCAACAAUUAUGAUGAAUGCAUUGAAUCGUUGAUUCACGGUCAAAAUCGGGAUGUGACAAGUUCUACCAGGGUUUCAUCAAGGGUUCCAUCUAAGGUUUUUAUCAAGGGUUCCACUAGGGUUUCAUCAAGGGCUCCAUCAAGGGUUCCAUCUAAGGUUUUUAUCGAGGGUUCCACCAAGGUUUCAUCAAGGCUCCAUCAAUGGUUUCAUCAAGGUUUUGUCAGGAGUUUUUAUCUAGGGUUCCACCAAGGUUUCAUUAAGGGCUCCAUCAAGGGUUUUAUCAAGAGUUUUUAUCAAGGGUUCCACCAGGAUUUCAUCAAGGGUUUCAUCACGGGUUUUAUCAAAGGUUCCACCAGGGUUUCAUCUAAAGGUUUCACCAAGGGUUUCAUCAAAGUUUGAUCAAAGGGUUUCAUCAGGGUUCCACAAAGGGUUUCAUCGGGGUCCCACCAGGGGUUAUGUUAGAAGUUUCGUUAGCAGCGAUCGGAGGAUCACUACAAUCCUACUUGAAUUUCGUAAAAAAUGAUCAGAGGAUCAUCGGAAUCAUACACAGGUUUCACCAAGAGGGGUUGAAACCUACCAAAGAUUCUGGUUCCAUCAUAGUGUUGCAUGGAUUCCCCCAAGGAAGUGGUUCAAAUAUUUGAGUUCCAUUAAGGAUAUUAUUCGGGAUCCAUUAGAUUGGUUAUGUGAGUUUCACAAGGGUUCCACCAAAAGUUGGUUUAGAUACCAACGAAGUACAAAAGGCAUCAAGUCUUUAUACAUCCCCAAAAAAUCUACUAACUCCAUGGACAAAAUUAGGGUCCCUCUCUAUAUUUAAUCGUCUUCCGUCAUGAGAGGAUGAAGACUCGCCAUCACCAUCAUCUCAAUUUAAAUUUGAUUAAAUAGGGACAGUUGUCUUACCCCAAAAUUUGUCUGCCCUUCAUAUGUUUUCUAACGCCACUUUAUUUCGAAUAAAUGAAAUGACACUGUUUUUUUACUGAGUCCCAACUUUAUUUUUAAAAAAGUUUGUUUUUUUAUUUUUAUUUUUUUAAAACCACUGAUGGAUUUUCUUUUCUAUUUCAUUAGUGCCUUUUAAUUUGAAAUUUAAAUUUUAUUUAUUUGAAUAUUAUAAUAUAUAUAUAUAUAUAUAUAUAUAUAUAUAUAUAUAUAUAUAUAUAUAUAUAUAUAUAUAUAUAUUAAUUAUAUAUAUAUAUAUAUUAGUAUAUAUAAAUCUUUUACUAAUAAUUUACAAAUUUUUGUAAAUAAUAUCCACUACUAUUUCGAUCACAGAACAUACUAGUAAUAUAUUGACAUGUGAUACUUCCCUAAUUAUUCUGCAUCUUGUAUGAUUUUCAAUAAAAAUAUACAAAGUGUUGUACCAUAGAAUAAAUCAAAAAACUUAAUAUAUGAAACUAUUAAUAUGAUAUUUAAUUAAGUUUUUAGGCAACACAUAAUUGCAUCAAUUAACUCUGGUUGAUAAAUUAUGACUAUUUAUUUACGUUUUAUAAAUUAUAUUAUAUAUCACAUAUAUUUGAAAAUAAUUCAUAUUUUACAUAAAAAAGAAAUCAAUUUAUUUUAAGUAAUUGUAUAUAUAAGUAUUUUAUCAAUUCAACUCUUAAAUUAAAAUUUUAAAUUGAUAACUUUUAUAAUUUCUUAUAAAAAUUCAAUGAAUAUUGAUUACACGUGCAUUUAAUCUUGUUUUCCAAUUUAGACAUUCUUGAAAAUAUUUUAGAAGUAAUAAUAUAAUAAUAAAAAAUCAUGCAAUACAUCUAUAAUUUUUUUUACAAUGUAUAACUUAAUUUUUUUUAACAAACAAUACAUAUAACAUAAACUUAUACUAGUAUUUAUUAUUACAUAGAUUAAAUGGCCCCACAUCCUUAAUUUUCUGGAUCUACCCCUAGAUCCUACAAACAAAAACCAUCCCACGUUACACUACACAACCAUUGCAUGUGAAAAAUAGUAAUGUAUGUUGGUACAAAGCAGAGAGAAAGAAUGGUAAAAGAUCUAGUCUCAUCUCAUUUUUAGUUAACAAUUAAUUUCUUUUUAUUUGAUUUAACUAUCAUUUAACUAUCAUUAUUUUUAUUUUUAUUUGACAUUUGAAGCAUAGGCUCAAACCUAAUAGUAUCAAUCUCUUCAUAUAUCAAAACUUUUUUAAUUCAUGAAUUGAAUAGUUCUUUUUUCUUUUCAACAAAUAUUUAAACUUCUUGGUGCUUUUGUUACGGAUUUGAUAAAGUGAUUUGGUCUUCAACGCCAUUGACUCAACGUCGCAGUCACUCUGUCGACACUUCCUCUCAAACUAGAAGGUUUUAGGUUUAUUUUUUUUCCUUUUAUCAUAUAAAUGUGUGAGUCUGUCUUUGGCCCAUGUGUAUGUCCAUUUAAUUGAUUUUGUUCUACAUGUUAAUUAAUUACAUUUACACGGUAUAUUAUAACUCUUAGAUUAAUUUUUGUGUCAUUCAGCAGAAAAGUAUAUUAAUGUAAUUUUGUUUGAUACUUGAAAAGAUUAAAAAAGAUAAUAUUAUAAAAACACCCAAAAUAUUAAUUUAGUUAAUUCUCUUUUAUUAACUCUUUUUUCAUUUUAUUAAUUUCGACCACUAAGAUUAUUAACAUAUAAAAGUAAUAAACUCAUAUCUUAUUUUACUUUACGUUAAAAACAAAAUAAAAGUCAAAAAUAUUUCUUUACAUAUUUAAAAUAUUUCUUCUCAUUUUUAAUUCUAAAAAUUUAAAAAGACAAAAAAAUAUAUUAUAUAUUUUAUAUCUUUGUUUUUUGUUUAAAAAUUAAUCUAUUAGGUCUAACUUAAUCUAGUUUAUUUUCUUCUAAAUUCAUUUUAAAAUAAAUUUAUUUCUUUAUAAUAAGAAUAGUAAAAAAAACAAUAAUAAUAAUAAUAAUAAUAAUAAUAAUAAUAAUAAUAAUAAUAAUAAUAAUAAUAAUAAUAAUAAUAAUAAUAAUAAUAAUAAUUAUCUAUGUAAAUAUGAAUUUAUUUUCUAAAUCAAAUUAAAACUAUAUUUUGCAAACUAACUUGAUUGUUUGGCGUCACACCUUAUCGAUAAAUAAUUCAACUAAAAACUUAAAAUCAAUUCAAACACAAUCAAAUGUUAUUUUCUCUGUCCUUGUGCAUUGAUAUUCGCUUUUUUAAACAAAAAUUUCUCCGCCCUGGUGCUUGAGAUAUUUUCACAACUAAAAUCAACAAACAUACAAUAUUUUCUAGACGGAUUUCAGUACUUUGAUCAUUCAUAUUGCUUGAGGGUACGUAGGCAUAGAGUUGUAACACUCUGGUGAAUACAAUAACAAAAACCUUUUCUCUGUCAUCUUUCCUGAUUAAAUUUUUCUUUUAUUAAAAUGAUAACCUAAUUCCCUGUAAAUAGGUAUAUUAAGCAAAAAUAGAUAACAUAAGAAAACACCCCAUAGAUAACACCUCCCCCUCACUAAAUCGACUCCCGAACCCUAAUGCACUAUCCUUACCUUUUAGGGUUUUCUCAUUAUUUCCCAUGUUCAUUAGGAACAAAUAAAAUAUGGUGGCAACUCGGUAAUUUUCCAGCCGCGACAACAAUAUUCCAUCUUAAAUAUCUUGAGUAUCUCACUUGUAUAUCUUCUUUGAUGCAUCACCAAAUCUCUACUACUCUUGUAGAAUUUGAUGCCAAGAAAGUAUGAAAUGUCUCCCAAAUCAAACAUUUCGAAUUCCUUGCUAAGGUCACCUUUGAAGUCUUCGAUCUCUUUCUUACAAUUACCAGUUCUUAAUAAGUCAUCGACAUAGAGAUAUAGUAUAAGCAAUUCACUCUUGCUUCUUCUUACAUGUAAUCCAUGUUUAGUUGUGCACUUCACAAAUUCGUCCUCCCUUAGAAAGCUAUAUAUCUUCUUAUUCCAAGCUCUUGGAGCUUGCUUAAGUCCAUACAGGGCUUUGUACAACCUGUAUACCUUGCUUUCUUCGACUUGUUUCACAAACCCAACUGGUUGUGCAACAUAAACUUCUUCAUCUAAGAGGGUCAUUUAAGAAUGCACAUUCACAUCCAUAUGACACAUAUGCCAGUUGUUCGUGUUUGCUAGACUAACAACCAACCUGAUUAUUUUGAUCCUAGUAACAGGUGCAAAAACUUUGUCGAUUCCUUCUUUUUGAAGAAAUCCUUUCGCCACAAGUAUUUCCUUGUGUCGAGUUACUUCUCCUUUAGGAUUCAACUUCACCUUGUAUACCCACUUCUCAUUGAUUGCCUUCUUGUCUUUAGGCAAUUCGACAAGUGACCAAGUGUUGUUGACUUCAGUGGACUUCAGUUCCUCAUUCAUUUCUUUCAUCCACUUCGAAUCCUUCAAUACCUCGACUGCAUUGACUAGUUCAUCAUAUGCAUAGAAAGCAUAGUGUACCAGCUCACCUUUAUCAUCAACCACAUCAUCUAAUGUAAUCACACAUUCUUUCAACCUUACAGGCAUAUGUCUUGUUCUUUGAGGUCUGUUUGUGCUUGUUUGACCUCUGACUUCUUCUUGUCGAACUUCUCUUUCGAAUUCACUUGUUGGGUAUUCACAUAGGAUUCAUACUGAAUCCUUCUUGACAUUUUCAGUCCAAUCACAUUCCUUAAGCUCAUCUAUGAUCACAUCCUUGUUGAUCAAUAAUUGCUUGUUCAUCAAUAUUGUUUCAGAAUUCUCCAUAGGUUUGGUGUAUUUCCACAUUCAGGAAUUUCGUCUUAAUCCCAACAUCUGGUAUCUAAGCACUAGCUGUGUGAUUCUUGGGAAGCAUAAUGCUCUGAUUGAUUACACCUUUUGUUCUCCACUCUUCACUUGAGUGAAUCAACCAACCUUGAUUUCAAGAUGAUUUUGUUGCACGAUGACUAUUGAAGAAGAAAAAAAAGAUGAAUUGAGGAAGAAAGGAGAAUUUAGGGUUUGAGAGAAAAGGGGAAGAAGAAGAAGAAUUCUGCAGAGUUUUUCUUUCUGCUUUCAAACUGAAAUUUUAUUCAACUUUUUUCUAUGCAACUGCAUUACAAACAACGAUAAGUACCUCCUUAUUUAUAGGUUGAUAUUGCUUCCACACCAACCAAUCACCAACUAACCUAACUAACUAAACUAAAACAAACAAAUAAAAUUAAGUCAAAAUUAUGUCGAGAUACACUUUAAUAUUUCGACAACUCCUUUCGAACAACAUGCUUCAAUAUAAGAAAUUACAUUUUCAAAUAUAUAUAUAUAUAUAUAUAUAUUAUAUAUAUAUAUUAUAGAUUUUUUUUUUUUUUUUUAAAAUGAAAGUUAUUGUCGACCAAGACUUUCCUCAUUUUAAAGGCAUUUAUUAUUAAUCAAGUGAGUGCCUCUAUCAAAUUUUCAUUUAUAUAUAAAUUUUUGCUUUUAAUCAAUAUCCAUUAAAUAAAUGGUUGUUAUCCUUUAAACAUGACACGAUAUAUACUCUCAAGAGAGGUAAACACCACUUAACUUUUUUCAUUAAUGAACCAUGGAUAAAAUUAAUACGACCUUUAGUAUUUUAAAUUGACAUUAUCAAAACAAUAAAAUGACGAGAAAAUUAGAAAGAAAAAACAAAUUGAUCUUUAGAAUUGACUUAUCUAACACUGCAUCGAUGAUAAUAAAAACAGGCAGCAUUAUGUCGACAGGGACGGUUGCCGACCAUACUGUGUGUCAGCAAAGUUGAUAAAUUUCACCAUAGGUGUUCCUUAAUCACGGCACCGAAUUCAUACCCCACGAUGUUGUGGUACCCAUUGAAAUUCAAACUGUUGCUAUUUUGCAGACUGCAAUACAUUUUUUGUUUGGCAAUAAAGUUAGUCAGCCAUGGAUCCAUAAAUAAUUGAUUGGAGCUUAGUUAACUGUUUAAAUAUUCAUACAAAAAAUAUUUUUAUUUAAAAAAAUUUAAAAAUAACAAAAAUUGAACACACUUGCUUCUAAGUUUAAUCUCUCUAAUUUAUUCACUUGAGAAUAGAUUAGACUAGAGAAUCAAAUUUAGAAUAUUUUGUAAUCAAUUGUGUAAAUGUUCAUGUUGUUAUAAAUAUAAUAAAUACAAUGAGGAAAGGCAUCCCGCCAGAAUUUGUGACAUCCAUGUCACCUUUAUCAAAGAGGAAAUGAGACACCAUAAAAUCUUUAUGAUAACUCUCAAAGGAUCCGUCAUGGAAUAAAUCAUUAGAAUACAACACCAUAAAAUCUUGGAGGAAAUUAUGUGAAGAUUUCAUAAUACAAUUCAUAACACAUUGGAGAAAGUUGAAGAGAGUAGUGUUCCUUAGUGGGAUCCAUUAGAAGAAGAAUGAUACCUCAAAUACAUGUAAUAAUUGUGAGGUCAUAGUAAUUUCACGUGUAAAAGCAUGUAUAAUUGUAAGGAUAGGGUGAUUUCAAUGUGAAAUAUGAUUUUCCACAAUAUCUUGAAUUCCAUUAUAACUCACUCUAAUUCAUGCAAUAUUAGUCAUAAAAAUGGUUUAAAUGCUUUAUAAGUAUCUUGGAAAAAGUAGUAUCAUAGGGUGUCACCAGACACAGACACUUAUUUUAAUGUUUCGUCUAUUUCUUAUCUUCAAUUUCAAGCAUUUUAGUAAGUUUAGAAGGACCAUUUAUUUAGCGUUAAAUGUGAACAAAGGAUCCACUGUCAUUAAGUGGGUUCCCGAUUUAUAUGAAGGGAUAUGUAAGUCAUGGUAACUCGAGAACCACUUAUGAAACUAAUCUAUAUCCAAACUUAUCAAAAUAGAAAAAUCUUGAUCACCACAACUUAAUCAUAACAUCUUGAUCUUCAAGUACCAACAUUUGGUAAACAAGUUUUGAUCUUCAAGCACCAUCACUUGAUCCACAAUAUGUCAGUUACCACCACUUGAUCAACAACUAUCAAGAAUCAUCACUUGAUCAACCACAUAUCAAUCACAAGAUCCACAUAUAAAGCACCAUCAAUUGAACAAUAAGAUGUCAAGCAUCAUCAUUUGAUCAACAUAUCAAGUGUCAUCACUUGAUUAAUCUUCAAGCACAAUCACAUGAACCAACUUAGACUUGAACAAGACUGAUGAAGAAUUCUCUUAAGAGUCUUGUCAACAUCAAAACCAAAAUAAUACAUUGUUAGAGUCUUCAUACCUGUAAACACAUAGAUCCACAUUAUCCUUUUUUUUUGAUGAAAAAUAAUCUCUUAAGGAGUUGGAAUAACAAAGAAAAAAUGUUAUAAAACUUGGAGUGAUUAAACUCCCCCUACAAACAUAGAGAGUAUACCCUACUUCCCCUGAGAGUAUACUUUUGCCCCCUUGGCGUUAUCAAAAAUUUGGGGAAAAUUAAGCAGAUAGACUUGUAUAUGAAUUAUUCAAGCACAUAUAUCAUAAGAGAUGUGCAUAGACAUUUAAUGGAAAACAUACUUCAUCAAUUGAAAUGACGGAAUUCAAAUACAGAAAGGGAAAUAACAAGGAAUUUAAAAGACUAUGAAAAGAAGGAAAAACAUAGGUGAGAUAACUAUUUGUUGUCAUUAAUAUCAUCAUCUAUGAUUAUGUAUUUUUUGUUGUUGAGUUCCUCUUGAUGAUAACCAUGUCCUUUAUUAAUUUUUGAAUAGCCAUAGUGUUUUUCUGAGAUAUUUUCAGAAGGUGUUAAUGAUUGAAUCAUUUGUUGUAUCUAGAUGGAUACUUCAUUUAUGGAUUUGUUCCAUAAUUCUCCUUGAAAGAUAUGAACCCUCAUACUACUGAGGGAUGAGUAGUUAAUACUAUAGUGAUUGAAUCCAUAAAUUCCCCUUGUGUUGACUCUUAGAGUAUCUAUAAUAUUGGUGAUCAAGGCUCUAUAUCGUGACCCUGUUGAUCGAGACUGCUUGUAGGAGGUCAUAUGGAGAAGCAUCUCGUUGAUCCAAUUUGUUUGAAACUGUUGGGUAAGCAGCCACAAAGGGACCAUAUAUUCUCGAAUGAUGACUUCAAGAUUAUCUUGUAUAGGGAAGAGUAUAUGUGUGAUAAAAUAAUGUUGGGUGAGAAUAUGGAGCAUAGAAAUGGUGUAUAUGGGGGGAGGGGGUUGAAUACACCCUUUUGAAAAAUUUAACCAAUUUUUGAAAUGAAAAAUCAGAGUUUUUGAUGUGGAAGUCUUAUAACAAAAAAAGAUAGACUUUAUGCUUAAAUUGGAAAUUAACCACGUAUACAAUUACCUAAUUAACAAAUAUCUUUGAUUGAUUAGAGAUAAUAUCUAAAGAGUUACAUGCUACGAUGAAUUGUCACUUUGUUAAUUACACAAGAUAUGUUCUUUACAAUAUCCAAUUUCUAUGAAAGUUUAACACAACAGUUUGUAGAAUUUAAUCAGAACUAAAACACAAAUAGAUUUUGAUUCUAACAAAACCUAAAUUUAUAUAAUAAAUAACUACCAACAGGUAUUAACAAUAAAUUACACUAAGAAAGGUUAACCUAAACAUGCAAUAGCCUACGAAAAAUUAAAAUGAGAGAGAGAAAGAGAGUGUGAACACUAGGAUGUAUAGUGGUUCAGAUCUAUCUUCCUGCAUGAGCCUAAUCCACUCUCCAAUUGUUUCUCAUUAAAAAAAUUUCUUCAACUAUGUUUUGAAAAAAAUUACCUGAGUUCAUACAAUCAUUAAUCCAUAAUAAUGCUGAGAAAAUAAAUCUUUUAUCUGGAUCUUAACUUGUACACUGCCUUUAUACUGAACUCUUUGUGAAAUCUUUACUCGGUUAUUGCUUCUUUAAUCUUCCAGAUUCACCAAUAUUCUCCAAGUCUCCGUGUAUGGUAAUCGCCCAUGAUCUCACUAAUUUCUUGAGCAAUGAAUUGUCUGAAGAUUGAGAAGAACCGCUACCUUGUAUGUAGGCUUCCUUAUAACUCUGCCAAGAGAUUUUGAGUUUUCAAAGAUAUGGAAGUUGUUGUUGUUAUGUUCUUGGUUAUUAUAAAUUGAGAUGACAAAAUAAUUUAUAUGUGCUAGAGAUUACGCACAAAAGUAUGUGAAAAAUGGUUCUUAGAUUCGAGUCAAGAACAUUUGUUGAUUUGAGUCAAGUGAGCAAGUAAAGUGGAACAAGAUUAACAUAACAAAAGUGACUUAUUUCCUGUGAUUCGAGUCAAAUUAUAUGUAUGAUUCUAGUUAUACAAGCUCAUAAUUUGAGUCAAGUAGAAACCCUGAUUCGAAUCAAUUUGAACUGAGCCGAAUAGUAAAAUGUGAAAAAACUAUGUGAUUCAAGUCAUUUGUAAAGUGUGAUUCAAAUCAAACUGGGAAGUGGCAAAUAGGAUUUGUAUGAUUCAAUCAUGUGCAACUUGUGAUUUGAGUCACAGUGUUGUAUAAUUUUGAAUCAAGUUAAAAUUGUGAUUUGAGUCACAGAUGCAAAAGUCUCCGGCUUCCAUUCCCUGCACAUAGACCUUAAUAUUUUCUUAGCACAAUCUCUGCCAAAAACGGACUUUCCUAAAUUGUUGAUUUUGUUGAUUAAGUGGAAGAACCUAGUCUUCAUGGAUUCCACGAAUUCUCCGGGAUCCACACGAAAUAGUUCGAACUCAUCUGUUACCAUGUUGAUCUUAGAAUCCUUGACGUCAUUUGUUCCAUUGUAAAGGGUUUGAAUAUCGUCCCACAUAGAUUUUGCGCUCUUAUGAUGUAAAAUAGAGUAUAAUACUUUCACACUUAAAAUUGAGAUAAGUAUGUUACUCGCUUUCAAAUCAUAUGAAGCCUUUUUGGUUUCAUCAUCUAUCUAAUCCUUUGGGUGUUUAACAUCUACCCGUAGAUUUUUAUAAAUUGAUAAUAAAUGUACAUACAUAUUUUCUUUCCAAUAAUGAUAAUUAUCGGCAUCUUCACCCAUAUUCCCAAAAUUUUGAGUCACUUAGACCUGAUCAAAAUACCAACUUUGAUACUAAUUAUUGGGUGAGAAUAUGGAGUAGAAAAUGGUAUAUAAUGGGUGAAUAGACCCUUUUGAAAAAUUUGACCGAUUUUCAAAAUGAAAAAUCGAAGUUUUUGAUGCGGAAGUCUUAUAGAAAAAAUAGAGACUUUAUGCUUGAAUUGGAAAUUAAUCACUAAUAUAAUUACACAAUUAAUAAAUAUCUCAGAUUGAUAAGAGAUAAUAUCCAAAGAGUUACCACCUGUGAUGUAUUGUCACUUUGUAAAUUACACGAGAUGUGUUCUUUACAAAAUACAAUUUCUAUGAGAUUCUAACACCACAGUUUGCAAAAUUUAAUUAGCACUAAAACACAAAUGAGUUCUGAUUCUAAAAAAAACUAAACUUGUGUAAUAAAUUGCUACCAACAGUAAUUAACAAUAAACUACACUAAGAAACGAUUACCUAAACAUGCUAUAUCCUACAAAAUUAAAAUAAGAGAGAGAGAGAGAGAGAGAGAGAGAGAGAGAGAGAGAGAGAAAGAGAGAGAGAGAGAGAGAGAGAGAGAGAGUACGCCCGAAUGUAUAAUGGUGCGGGUCUAUCGUCAUCAUAGAAGCCUAAUCCAUUCUCCAAUGGUUUCCCAUUGAAAGUUGUCAUUCCACUAUGUUUUGACAAAAAUUGCACGAGUUUAUACAAUCAUUAAUCCAGAAUAAUGAUGAGAAAACAAAUCUUCUAUCUGGAUCUUGACUUUUACAUAGCAUUUAGGAUGAACUUUCUGUGAAAUCUUUACUCGAUUCUCGCGUCUUGAAUCUUCCAACUUCACUAAUCUUCUCCAACUUUUCGCGUGUGGCAAUCACCUCUGAUCCCACCGAUUUCUUCACGAAGAUUGAGAAGAACGCAUACCUUGUCUGUAGGCUUCCAUACAACUCUACAAAGGUCAUCAUAGAGAGAAGAACCUUUUUUUUUCACCAGAUUUUGUCACCACAAGUCACAACAAUCCCAAUGAUAAAGUUUUUACUGGUUUGUCAACAAAUGUGAAAGAGGGGGAGGAUAAGUAUCUUUAUGGCCAGUAGUUGGUUUCUUAUAAUUAACAUCCCCUUGGACCUCUUUCUCCUUCAAAUAUUGACUUUAGAACCUUAUCAUGUGUAUGAAUCAAUAGUGAAUCAAGUUUUUAACGUAACCCCCAAAGGCGUAGUGGUUUUUUAGUGUUUCUUUCAUCCAUCAUUGGUGGAUUUGGUGUUUGAGUUCUAACUUGGUUCAUAUUUGUUGGUUACUUGUUGUAUUAGUAGCACUACUACAAAAUAGACGUUUGGUAACACCCAUUUUACAACGGUUUUCCUAUUAACCGUGGUAAUAAUUUUUUGGGGCGUUUUUUUUUUGUGUAUUUACUAAAAGAUAUUUCACAACGGUCAUUGAUACCAACUGUGGUUAAAAGUGGCGUCUGAUCAUGAGUUUGAAUCUCAGCACCUACAAUUUUGUUUUUAUUUAUUUUUAAGCCACUUUUCACCACCGUUGGAACUUUCAACUGUCGUGAAAAGUGGAUCCUGGUCAUGAGUUCGAAUCCUAGCACAUACAGUUUUAUUUUUAUUUAUUUAUUAAAAGACAUACAACAACGGUUGAUUAAAGUAACUGUUGUGAUAUGUUAAGACAUAUAACAAUGGUUGUUUAAAGUAAUUUUUCUGAUAGGUACAAUUUUUUUUUUAAUAUUUAUUAAAGUAAGCAUGUUUAUUGAGUUUCUUCGCCAUUCUUAAAUAAAUCUUUGUCGGCCAUUUAGUGAGUAUCAAUGCCCAAGACACUACCAUUGGUGAUCCGCAUGAAACCUAAAACUUAGAUGAACUUUCAACUUAGAAGAACUUCAUCUUCUACCUCCAAACAUCUUCUUCCAUUUAUGACUCUCUAUUUCUCCACUAAAUUAAACUCGAAGACAUUCUUUCUUCCAUAAGCAAAACUCAAAAACAUCAUUUCUUUCAUUAACAAAUUCCAGAACUCCAUCACCUCUUCUCCCACUUGAAUGAGACAAGGAAAACAUGGAUUCUAGUUAGCAAUGUUAGUGUUUUUGUUAUUUUGUUGUUGUUGUUGUUGUUGUUCUAUUGCUGCAUUUUUAUUUUAUUUUAUUAAAAGUCAUACAACAACGGUUGUUUAAAGUAACCAUUGUAAUAAAGUGAGACAUACAACAAAGGUUGUUUAAAGUAACCGUUGUGGUAAGUAGCGUGGUGAAAAAUGUCAUACAUACAAUCAUACCAUACCUCACAACGGUUGAUCCAAAGUGGUAGUAUCCAUUUUCCGACUGUUGUGAUAGAUAUUUUUCGUAGUAGUGUAACUAUUCGAUUUUCCUUUUCUUUCUGCUUAUUUUUGUUCUUGGUGAUUGAUUGUAUUAGCUCCAUCAUUUUAUCUUUUAGUUUUUUUUGUCUGUUUUUUUUUCUUUGGAGGUUUUUCUCUUCGUUAUUAAUAUAGUAAUUGAUAAAAAAAAUGUUAGUAAUAUUUUCCGUUACCACGUUUAAACAAUCCAACUUAUUAGUAAAACCCAUUUUGUUGUAGAUAAGUUUAUGCAACUUUAUCCAUAAUAAAUGUAAGUUAAAUAUGAACUUAAUUGUAUAAACUCAAAUCUCCUUAGACUUACGAAAUGACAUUAAUAUCAAACAAACUUGCUUUUAACUUUGUUUUUAAUUGUGAUACAUUGCAUUUUUUUAAGGGUAUUUUAGAUUUUUCUUUCACACUAUUAAAUUAAUAAAAUCACAACUUUUGUUGCAUUAAAUAUAUUUAAUAAUAUCGUUAUGAAAAAGACAUAUCAAAUUAACUUUUCUAGCCUCUUAUCUUGAUUUUUCAUUUGUGAUACAAUGAUUUUUUAAAGAUGUUUUACUAUUUUACAAUAUUAUAUUGAUAAUAUCAUAAGUUUUUUUUUGCAUUAAAUCAAUUUAAUAAUAGCAUUUAUAUAUUAAUUUAAUCAUUAAUUAUUAUAUAUGUUAUAAAAGAAAAAUUAUCUUUGAACCACAACUAAGAUUUAGAUUAAAUUAAUAUUUUAAUAACUAUUGUAUAAAAAACAAUAAUCAUAAUAUACUUUAAUUAUACUUUUAACGUUAAUAUGUAUACACGGGACAAAUGUUUGUUUGGCAUUGAUCAAUAAAUUAAAUUAAUAAAAUUAAAAAAUAAUUAUAACAUAAUUUACUAAAAUAAAUUGAUUCAACAGUCCUUGUCCUUAAAAUGUUGGAGUUUCAUAUCUUUUAAAAUUUUCAAACUUAAAAUUAUAAUAUAUAAAAUAUCAACGUGACAUUUAAAAUAAUUCAAAAUAAAAAUAAUAAAAUCAUAUCAGUAUUUUUGGAAUUAAAACAAAUAAAUAAUUGUUGAGUUAGCGAGCCACACAAAUCCUUUUGUCCAAUCAAAUUCCAAAAUAUUUAAAUGAUCUAAAUCUUUAUAUUGCAAGAUUGUUUUUGCAAAAAAUAGUUUUACAGGGGCAUAAAUUAAAAUUCGCCUAUGGCACGGGGAAAUGAUAUUAACCAUUUAUAAAAUUAUUCAUUAAAAUUAAUCUCUUUUAAAUAUUUUUAAAACAAAUGAGAAUAUUUAUAAUAUAAUAAUUAUAAUUUUUCAUACUUUUAACAUUUUUUAUUAUUUCAUUUAAAAAUUAAUAACUAAAAAUAUUCGUUGACACAUCCCGUUCAUACACGAUUUAGUCCAUAUUUGAUUUUGAUAAAAUUUUGAAUAAUUAAUUUUUCUUAAAAGUGAAUUGAAUGUUUUAUAUUUUGAUACAUAGUUGAAUUAUAAGAAUUAAAAAUCAUGUUAAGACUCGAAAUCUACCAAUGAUUGUGUCUUCGAAUUAUGAUAAAUUAUUCAGGGAAAAAUAAUUCUACCAGAAGGCAAAUAAACAUACUAAAAUUGAUUAUAAAAUGGUAAAUCAAACAAAGAAUUAUUAUUUUUAUAUCUUAAAGAGAAAAUUGAUUCUAAAAUACUAAUUUAAGUUUAUUAUGAAAAUUAUAUAAGAAAUAAAUAUUAUUGAUUGAAGAGUUAGUUAAAAUUAUAAUUAUUUUUAAUAUUAUUCAAUAAAAAAUAUGAACAAUUACAAUGCAAUUCCUACAAUUGUGUUGCAUAUUUUAAUUUUAUUCAAGUUGUUUAUCAAGAAACAAGACACUUAAAAAGGUAUUCUAGCAUACAAUUCUUACAAAAAUAAAUGUUUUUCCCUAAUAAAAUAAUUAAAUUUAAUAUUUUCAAUAGCUUGUAGAUAAAAAUAAGAUUAUUUAUAAUAAAAUAUUAAUUAAAGUGAAAUAUAAAUCAUUGAUUUUUAUUAUAAAAAAAAGGACAAAUAGUCGUAACAAAUACAUAAAAAAUACAAGAUAGAAAUAUUUGUAACAGGUAAAUAUAAAAAAAAAUAUAAAAUACACAUUUGUCAUUGUUACAUAGCAAAAUAAUACGCAAAUAUUUUUUAUUUUAUUAAUGCGAAAUAAAAACAAAAAAUUAAAUUCAAAUUCAAAAAAACAGUCUCCUCCAAUAUGUAGAUUUUGAUAGUGGUUUUGCAACAUGACUCCUCCAUAGCAGGAGUUGUAGAGACUCUCAGCACCACCUCUCACUCUAUUGAGGUUGUUGUGCACCUAGAUCAUCGUCGAUGGUCUUUGCCGUCCUUGGUGAUUUCCAUUGAUUUGUAUCUUAACCCCUUAGGAUCCGUUGUCUGUUGUCCACUAUUCAGAAGGAACUCCGUGCCAGAAUGGAUAAACAAGACACUGUCAACGACAACAUUCAGAACAUGCUAGCUCAAUUGCUUCAGAGAAUGCCUCCGCCUCCCAACCCCUAGGCACUUAGGAUUUUGUUUUUAGCCUGUUGUUUUGGCUUGUUCUGAUGACUUGUUCUUUUUGUCCUUGUCUCUGUUGCUUUUACUGAAUACAAUGUUUUUUUCUUGAAUUAUUCUUUUCUGCUAUGUCUUUUGAUUCUGACAAAAAGGGGAGAAGUCAUUAAAUGCUCUGACGAAAUUCUGUUCUAAAUACUUAGCACUUGCAACUAUUUUCUUAAAAUAAAUUUAUCUACACUAGACUUAAGAAAUUGCAGAGGGGCAACAUUAGCUGGGUGGUAAGUUUGGUAUCAAGACCUCAUUCCGCUUGGAAGCUUGGUAAAACUUUUGACUCCCGUAGCCUAUUCUCAGGGGAGGUCUUGUCUAUCUGAUCUGAUAUUGUUUAUGUUUCAUCUGCUAAUUAAGUUUGUUUUGUCAUUUUCAGAAGGGGGGAUUGUAGAACAAAUUGGUGAUCGGUACAGCAGAUUCGGCUCUNNNNNNNNNNNNNNNNNNNNNNNNNNNNNNNNNNNNNNNNNNNNNNNNNNNNNNNNNNNNNNNNNNNNNNNNNNNNNNNNNNNNNNNNNNNNNNNNNNNNNNNNNNNNNNNNNNNNNNNNNNNNNNNNNNNNNNNNNNNNNNNNNNNNNNNNNNNNNNNNNNNNNNNNNNNNNNNNNNNNNNNNNNNNNNNNNNNNNNNNNNNNNNNNNNNNNNNNNNNNNNNNNNNNNNNNNNNNUGCUAUGUCUUUUUGAUUCUGACAAAAAGGGGGAGAAGUCAUUAAUAGCUCUGAUGAAAAUACUGUCUAAAUACCUUAAGCACUCUGCAACAUAUUUUUCUUAAAAAUAAAUUUAUCUAACACUAGACUUAAGAAAUUGCAGAAGGUAUCAAGAAACCUCAUUGCUUGGAAGCUCUGGUAAGAACUUCUGAACUCCCUAGCCUAUCUCAGGGGGAGCUCUUGUCUAUCUGAUCUGAUAUUGUUUAUGUUUCAUCUGCUAAUUAAGUUUGUUUUGUCAUCAUCAAAAAGGGGGAGAUUGUAAGAACAAAAAUUGUUCUACAACAGAUUCCAUGAUUUUGAUGAUAACAAAGGAUGAAACCAAAAAUGGCACCCUAACGAAAAGUUUCUAAGUGUGCAGGAUUCUAAGGAAAGAAGGAAGAGAUCUGAUGACGUCAUCAGAUACAGAAUCAUAUCAGAUACAAAUUAUCAGAAGACCAAAAGCAUCUGAAGUAUAAACACGCUCAAGAAAGUCUAACUCUGAGCAAAAACAACAAAAUAUCAGAAGCAUCUGAACAAGAAGUACGCUCUAGAAGUUCUGACUCUGAACAACGGUAUGUCAAACUCCAGAAGCUAUCAGCGCUAUCUGAAGAAACCAUCAGAACUUAAAAGAGAUCAACAUCAGAAGUUAGAUAGCAAGAUUCCAAGAUUCCCAGAAACACGAAGACUCAGAUCUUGGAUUUCCUAAUAAGGAAAGAGUAACGUUAACUUCAAAUAAAGGCUUGGAAAUGGAUUUCCUAAUACAGAAAGAGACGUUAAACUCCAAAUUCAAAUGAAAAGGAACUAUUUUUGGAAAGUAGUCAUUCGAGGAGAGAAAGUUGUCUUGGCAAGAAGCUAUAUAAGUUAUGGCAUUAAUUUAAAUUAUUGGCCAUCACCUUCAACGACUACUUCACUCCUAUAUAUAAAGGACUGCAAAUCAACAUCAAACACAAGAAUUUACUGAAACAUCAACACACAUAAACACAUUUUAUUCUCUCAAUCUUCACGAAGCUUUUGCUUAGAACGUGAAACACUUUGUUCUUGCUGUUGUAAUAUUUGCUUAUCUUAGAAGCACUCUAGAUUACAUAAGUCUUUAUCCUUGUUUUUUUCCUCAAGUGACUCUGCGCAGUCUGUAUACUUGAGAGGACUAAGAGAUCUUCUCUUAGACGUCGUUUGUAAUCAAUCUUUCAAGAUUAGUGGAUUAAGUCCUUGUUGAAGGCGAAAUCACCUUGGCCGGGUGGACUGGAGUAGCUUUGUGUUAUAAGCGAACCAGUAUAAAUUCCUUGUGUGAUUUUCAUUUUUGAAAAAGCGCUUAUUUUCAAAACAAUUCAAACCCCCCUUUCUUGUUUUUCUCACCUUCAAAGGUUUGAUUUGAUUUUGUAUCAGACAAUUUUGCUUGAAAGAGUUAUAUGGCUUUCACAAUUUGGUUGUGUUUCAGGUUAUUUUAUGGACAUCUCAUGUUGUUCAUAUUUUGCAACAAUAUGUUAUUGAUGAGAUGAUUUAAUUAUGUUUUUGUGGUCGGUUCAUUUGCCAAUUGUUGUGAAAUAUAAAGCUGAAAGUGAUACUUUAUUAAACCAAAGACAAUGACCUUAUAUAGCCUUACAGGAGAAAUAAAGAAAUAACAGAAGCAAACUAGAAACUAGGAAACAGACUCCAUUACGUAAUUAUAGAUGACUUAUUCAACUAAGACAAAUUCAAACUACAACAUACCCUCCCUUAAGCUUAACUCUCAUGAAUUAAGCUUAAUUCAGACAAGUUAACAAUUUCAAGUAAUGCUCUCAGCUUCUCAAACUGCUCCAGCUUCAACGACUUCGUAAAAAUAUCCGCAACUUGGUUUUUUGCUGCACAAUACUCCAGCUUAACAGUUUCCCCAUUCACCAGCUCUCUAAGAUAAUGAAACCUUACUUCGAUAUGCUUACUUUUCCCAUGAAGGACUGGAUGUUUGGACAAAGCAAUCGUCUAACUUGUAAGACCCAAAUUUUGACCCUAAGAUCCCUCAUGGCAUCAUAUCAUUGCACAUUGCAUUUGCCUCAAGGAUCAUAGCAUCUUGACUCCUUAACCUUUGGGUAGGACUUGUGUGAGUUGGUCUGAGACCACCAAGAAUGCUUGAAUAGUAUAUUAUUGCUUUUAUCAUUUUGUUUACUAACCAAAAUCACAAAAAAUAUGUCACUAACUUUGUUUGUUUUGUAGCUUGAGCAAUCAUAAGAUCCAAGGCUCCUAGGAGACCCUUACUCAUUAGAAUGGCCAAAUGAAGUUGAAAGAAAGCAUGACAAUGGUUCACAAGGCUCUCAAUCAUCAUAUAUUCCUCCCAAGUAUCUCAGUUUGUCAAUUUGAUCAAGAUAAACCAAAGGACUUGAGGCCUGUUUCCCAAGGAAACCCUAAUUCAUCUGUGCAUUGAUUGUGCCUUGCUCAUGAAGUAACCUCAAUCCAUGAUCAAAUAUAAUCAAGGGAAUUUCUUUCAUUCAUCAUUUCAUGAAUAUUUGAGCUUAUUUGAGUGUCCUCAAUCAUCAAUUCAUCAAGAUUUGAAGUUUGGACUUGAGAAGUUGAUCAGUCAAUUCAUCUAACUAUUUUAAAAUCCACUGAGACCUAACUUUUGAUGUGUUUGUCAAAUGAAGAUGACCCCAAGAGAAAAAAUGUUCUUAAGAACCAUAUGAACAACUUUCAUGUUCAUCAAAAAUUUAUUUGAAUCUUGUAAGGUCAUCAUCCAUUUCAAAACAUUAUAGGUCAUUUUGACUGAAACCCUAAUUUUGGGUCAACUUCCCAAGGACCUAACUCACUCAUUUUUCAUGAUUUUGAGGUGGGAUCAAAUGAAUUGGAAAGACAUCAUCCAUUUCAAAACAUUAUAGGUCAUUUUGACUGAAACCCUAAUUUUGGGUCAACUUCCCAAGGACCUAACUCACUCAUUUUUCAUGAUUUUGAGGUGGGAUCAAAUGAAUUGGAAAGUUUAACAUGUCUACUUCAUUUUUUAUGUUGAAAAAAUGUUCAUAAUCCUAAAAGAAGUACAUGUGAUAAUGCAAAACAUUAUAGGUCACUUUGGACCAAAGUCAUUGAAAUGUGAAAAAGUCCAACUUCAAGUGCCCAUAACUUUCUCAUCAAAAAUCCAAAUGAUGCAAAAUUUGAGUACAAAUUGAUUUUAUUGAAAAGAUAUACAACUUUGAUGUUGAAGGUUUUGUCAUUUGAGGCUUGCAUCAUUGAAACAGAAGGGCUUGAAGUUGGUCCAUUUUGGCAAAAUUCUCAUACACAUAUUUUGUACAUGGAACUUCAUGAUCAGUUUUCAUUAAUUUCCCAACUCCAAAUGGAUUUUUGUUCAACAUAAAAAUUGUUCCUCAUGUCAAGGCCUUUCCAACCAUUACCCACAUGACCAUGAUUCAUUUUGGUAAGGUGCAUUUUCGAAGAGAUGAAAGUUUAUGUUCAUUUAUGGAAACAAUGUUAAAAAUCCAUGCACAAGCCAAUUCAAUCACACUUGUACGUCCAAUUCAUCUCAAUUACAUAUGAACACUCAAUUGCCAUUGCAUUUGGGCCUCCCAUGCGCCUGUACAGGCCCAUACAUAGAGGCCCUCACUUCAUGCACACAUGAAUUUCACCUUGCUUGCAUCACCUUGUGCUAUAAAUAGAGAUGCUCAGCUUCACUCCAAAUCAACCUUAAGGCGCCUUACAUGCUGCAGAACUGAAUCCCCACCUCACUCAAAGGAAUUUUUUGCAUUUCACUUCAAUUUUUCAGUCUCAAUUUUCAACUUCCUUGGUUGAUUAUUGAGCUCUAAUUCCUUAGCCUCACUUCCUUUCCAUCUCAAGAACACACUGCUAUCAAGAAUUGGGAGAGAUCGUGAUUCAUAGAGAUGCACUUCAAAGGUUGUUGUUCAAACUUUUUCAAUUCGAAUCUCACUGGAUCUUGUUAUUUCUUGUGUUUGUUGGCUCCUCUGAAGUCCUUCAUAAGAGGCAAUUGAAUAUUUAAUUUCACGAAUCCAUCAAGUUCAGAUUGAACACCAUAAUUUUCUCUCUCAGAUUUCUCCUUCUAUGAGAGUCUAGAGGAGAAACCAAUGGCACAGGGGUGAUGUACAUCACCCCAGCUUUCUAAUGAUAUGAGGAUCGUCCAUUUUGGUUGAGAUUUCAUGACCUGCAACUUCCACCGGAGCUAGCAUGCUUGCCGGAGAAGACGGUGGUGUACACCACCGUCCCCGUUGCCAGAUUUAAUCUAGGCCAUUUGAUUGCAUUUCCAGAUCUAAUCAUAGCCUUCAAAUCUUAUGACUUUUAAUAAUGCUAUGUGUUUCUCGUUUGACCAAAGUCUAUGAUGCGCGCGCGCCUGUGAGCCAUCUGAUGUGCCACAUCAUUUAAUGAGAUUGAUCCAACGCGUCAGGCUUUUUGCAUUUUCUGAUUUUUCUAUUUUAUUUUCUUAAUUUUAUUUUAUUUCAAAAAUUCAUAUCUCUUUCAUUUUAAAUCCAAAAAUUAUGGGACCAAUUGCAUUAUUUCCCUUUUUAAUUCUAGUUUCUAAAAAUGAUUUUUAAUAUUUUUUAUUUUUCCAUUUGAUAUUUUUUGUAAAAUUUCUCUUUUCUGGUUAUUUUUAAUUCAUUUUAAAUAGUUUCCAAUAUUCAAAAAAUGCAAAAAUAUUUUCUUAACAUCUUUGAAUGAUGAUGAAUCUAUGAAAAAUAUUCUCAUCAAUUUCUGGAAUUGAUUUGAGAUUUAUUUGAGAUUUUGUUCAAUUAUGUUUAUUUUUUCAUUUUUAAUUGUUUAAAAAAUAGGUUCUGGUUUCCAAAAUGCUGAAGUUUUGUCAAACUUUGUUUGACCUUGUUGAACUUAGGAUGAUCCAUUUGGACUUUUCCAAGUUGAUUUGAAAUGGAUUUGAAGUUUGACCUUUAUUUGAUUAUUUUAAUUCAAGUAUUAUUUUAAUUUUCAAAAAUAGCAAAAAUAUUUUAUUUGUUUCUUGACUUCUAAGCUUCAUCUUACUUCUGUUUACCAUUGAUUAACUUUGAUUCCUUUCAUCUUUGGUCAAUGUAUUUUGCUUUUGUCAUUUGAAUUUCCAUUCAUGUUCAUUCUUAUUCUUCUUCUUCUUCAUCUUUUUUUUUCUUUUUGAUCAAUGAGUUAGAGAUUGGUGGUUAGCCUUGACAUAUGAGGGGCUUAACCUUAUUUGAUUCAAAUCUAAUUCAUCUUGAUCAAGGAUCAAGUGAAUGACUUUGCAUUAGAGAUAGGUUGCUUCUUAGUCAAGCAAAAAAUCUAAAUCAAUACAAGAUCAUUCUUCUUUUAUUUUGGCAUGACAAGUUGUAGGAGCUUGGAUUACUAGUCAUGGUCUCUAACUUGUGUUUGUUGCCUAUAGUUUUAUUGACCGGCCUCAGAUAGGUGUGACUACUACAUUAGUCCACUUACGAUUGCUUAACAUAGCGCUAAAUUGCCUUAUGGCACACACUCAGAUAGGUGUGACUACUACAUUAGUCCACUUACGAUUGCUUAACAUAGCGCUAAAUUGCCUUAUGGCACACUAACAUUAACUAUUAACACUAACUUUUAAUUCAAGUCUUUAAUUCUUGCAAUUUACUUUAAUGCAAUUUAAUUUCUUGCACAUUAAUUCAUUUGCUUUUGCCCUUUACUCACUUGAGCUCAUGUUUAUGUUAAUGCAAUUUGCCUUUUGCUCACUUGAGCACAUUAUUGUGUAUAUACUAUUGUGCUUGUUUUAUUUUGAUUGUGUGAACCCAAUGCAAAUGGACAAAGGACUUAGAUUUUAGGACCUUGCCUAUGCUAAAUGGAGUCAAAGAGAAACUAGGCCUCAUGCCUUUAGAAUGCUAUGAAAGAAAAAUGUCAAAGAGCAACUAGGCCUCAUGCCUUUAGAAUGCUUAAUGUUGAAGAUGAAUUGAAAGGACCUCUAAUUCUAAACUCCCUCUUGUCCAUUCUUUAUUUGUUUUGUGGAACUUUUUUAUUUGUGUGUUCUUGUGCUAGGGAUCCCAAACUUGCAAAGUAGAAGAACCAUUGUCAUGAGCAUCCAAAGUGAGAGAUACAAAAGCCAUUGGAAGAUUCCUAGGAGCUUGAUUGUUAUGUGCUUGAUUGCUUGAGUUAUUUGCUUAUUGCUUGUUAUAUCCAAAGGAAGGAGCAACUUGGAUCAUCACCAUGAUCUCAAGAAGGAAACUCCAUUGUGGUUUUAUUUCUCUUCCUUUAUCCUUGCAUGUUUAGGACUUAGCCAUUCUUCUUCUUCCUUCCACUCUAACCCAAGCCAAACUUUUGUGCACACAUUAACAUUGUUUUCAAAAUUAGAAACCUAAGCUCUAUGCUUUUGAUUUUUUCAAACUCUUUUCAUAACACUUAUCUGGAAUUGAACCCUUAAGUCAACUUUGACCAUACUUUGUGAAUACUUUUCAUUUGUAAAUACAACUCACUCAAUUGUUUUGUGGUUUCAAUGGCCACUUUGCCAAAGCUUUUCAUAAACAUUAGCUAUUAGGUUUAAGUUAUCCUAGAGGUUGAUAUAAUACUCACCUAUAUCCUUAGUGAUAGGAUUAUGAGUCUUCCAUGCUUAUUAUAGGGUUAACCCCUCACUAGCAUGUUGAAGCUCUCCUCACAUGGUGGAUUUGUGGUUUUAGGUUGAGUUUCUCCCUUUGAUAACAAAAGACCUUAAGGCUUUUGACCAAUCAAUUCACCAACUUCUUUUGAGAAUUUCACCCUGAACUACGAGGUUUUGAUCCUACCUUUUUAAGAUGGUACGUAGGCAAUGGGUUCAUCCUUUCAAACACAAAAUUGUAAAUAACUUAUAUAUUCUCUUCUCAUCUCCCCAAUCAUGUUUGCACAAAUAUUUUUCCCAAAUACCAACCUACCUUACAACAUUAGUGAAAAGGGCUCCCUUAGAGUACUAAGGAUGUUUUGGAUGCUUAAAACCUUCACAUUGCAUAACCAACCCCCUUACCCAGAUCUCUGACAUUUUUAUUAGUUUUUGAUUCGAUAAAACUUCUCGGUUUUUGUUCGCUUUCUAACCUUUCCUUUGGAUAAAUAGAAGUGCGGUGGCGACUUGAAUUGUAUGAUUUACUUUUGAUUUAGUCAAUAAAUCUAAAGGUAACGAAUACCCCGCUACAAAAAAGUGGCGACUCUGCUGGGGAUGAUUUGCCUAGUGGGUUUUGCCUACUUUUCACUUUUGUUGUAUUGUAUUAUUUAUAUUAUUUGUGACAUAUUUUUGUGCAAAUUUGGGAUUAUUGUAUUGAUUGUAAUGUACGAAUUGCUUGAUAUAUCAAUUGCUUGUGUGCUUGGUGGUCUCUUGUGAGACGAGUUCUAUACCCGAACUCGAGUGCACUUAUGAUAGGAGAAUGGCAUAGUCUUGUUGACUUGUGUGGAGUUAUUCCUUAACAAGUUGACUUGCAAGCCCAUUCACUUGGUGGAGGUUAUGUUGGGAUCAAUAAUGUCACACAAGUAGUCGUGGUUAGGCAUUACUCUUUCCAAUAUAUGCCUUAGAAGCCAAGGACCUUAGAUUACCCCCAUCUUGGCCUUUUUAGGACGUAGGAAGGGUUCAAGUGUAAGUUUGAUACGAUUGUACGCAUAACUACAUCCAUAGAGUCUCUCUAUAUUUUUGGAAUACGAGUAGUCAUUUAUCCGAUAAUAUCUGAAAGAUGGGAUGAUGACUAUGGGAACCUCUUGUAGAACAUGAUUGUCAGGUUUAACCAUAGUACACUCCCUUUGGAUGGUUCUUAACCGAGACUCCAUGCUCGUGACUUACAACAAACCCUUGAUUCAUGGUUGAUCCGUUCUUGUGUAUCCUUAAUAUCAAUGGAACUUGGGUGUUGAUAAGGUGAAAACCAUAAUCCACCAAAAUGGACUAGUGAUAUUAAGGAUGACUUGAUCCAUCCCAUGACCUUUGUAUGGUGUGAUUUGCUUGAUCCUUGAGUGUGAUUGUUGCAUCCAUGCAUUCAUGCAUUCAUACACAUCCAUAUCAUCAACAAUGAUAAAAUUUUCAAGGAACCUAAGAGGUUUAUUUGCAAAUUUUCAGACAUGAAUAAGCAAAGAAGGAAUACAAAGAAGUACAGUUUCAGACAACCCGACUUGAAAGAGUUAAGGAGUUUGACAUCCUAUGUAUUAGAUCCCUUGGAGUUCAAGGCUCGUCGUGAGAAGCUUCUGUCUAUUCUUGCAACUCAGGUGGAUGAAGGUCUGAUGAGUGUGUUGGUACAGUUCUAUGAUCCCUUGUACCGUUGCUUCACAUUCCCGGAUUUCCAGCUUUUGCCCACGCUUGAGGAGUAUGCCUAUCUUGUGGGUAUAUCCCGUUCCGACUCUGUUGAGUGACACUUAUUUCUCUUUGCAUAUGAGGAAUGCAAAGGGUGGUGGUACCAUUGUGUGUUGUUUUCCUCUGUUGUACAAGUGGUUUAUUUCUCACUUGCCUCAAACGCUCGCCUUCAAGGAGAAAAAAAGAUGUCUACGGUGGUCCACGAGACUUAUGUCUCUCACUAACGAUGAUAUCUUUUGGUAUAACCGUGUAUACGAUGGUGUGCAAAUUAUCGACUCUUGUGGUGAAUUCUCCAAUGUGCCUCUUCUUGGUACAUGUGGUGGGAUUAACUACAACCCUAUUUUAGCACGUCGUCAGCUUGGGUUCCCAUUAAAGGAUAAACCCAAUAACAUUUUGUUAGAAGGUAUGUUCUUUCAAGAGGGUAAAGAUCCCCAAAACAUGAAGGGCAGGAUGGUCCGCGCUUGGCGCAAGAUUCAUAGAAAGGGAAGGAAAGAGCUUGGUCUGAAGAAUUGUAUUACUUUGGAACCCUAUACCUCGUGGGUGAGGAGGAGAGCUUCUGAGUACCUUAUGCCUUAUGACUACCCGAGACCUACACCUAUGGUUGUGGCUGAGCCUUCAACCCUCCCUAACCAAGGAGUAGAGGAGUUGAGAGAUGAAGACCGUUCACGUGCUUGGAUCCGUGAGCGAGAGGAGCUACUUCAGCAGCUUAGAGAUAAGGAUGCUUUGAUAGAGUUUCUGGAGCAUCAGGUUAUCGACGAGCCUGAUGAUGUAGUCACUUCUCUUCUUCCUCAGUCUUCCAGGUUUUGGAAGAGGAAGUACGAUCGACUCGCCAAGGAGAAGGCAAAUAUGGAGGCAACCUAUGAGAGAGAGGUGAAGAGGCUUCGUGGAACUUAUCUUCCAGUCUCGAGAGAUUUGGACGAUUGGUUCUAGGGUUCCAUAGGAUGUUCAUUUUCCUUCUCCCUUGUAUUGUAUUUGGUUACCAAGAUUGUACUUCUUUGGUGUAAAAAUAUUUUCCAGAUGUUAUUGAUAUGAUUAUUCCACAUAUGUCUAAAUGAUUAAUAUUUCCAACAUUUGCAAAUAGGACUCUAAAAGUUCCUCUGAUAAAAAAUAAAUCAUAUGCACAAGCAUUGCAUGCAUCAUGUGCAUAAGCAGGUUUUGUUCCAGGGCUUCUUGUUCAGUGGUCUAACUCUGUGUUUUUCAUUUAUUUUAAAGACAAGCUGACGCACCGGUACUAUACCAGAGCCAACUCAUCAAAGCUAGUGGAUCACCUCGAGCAAGAGAACCGAGAAUUGAAGGAGGAAGUGGAAAGAUUGACUGCCCUGAUGGAGUUUUUUUUGGCCGCCCAAAGUCAGUCUUCUCCAACGCCUUCAACUCCUCCCCAGAGGACACGUCAUUUCUGAGAUUCCUUCCUCAACAGUACCUGCUUCCAGUGCCCACUUCGUGCCUACUGUUAUGCCAGCCGGGUUUCCCUGAGGGAUGCCCGCGAACUUUGUUCCAGAGGGUCUCGCCCCAACUUUUGCUUCUUUGUCGGUAUCUAGCCCGGUCCUUGCUGUGCCGCCUCCAGUCGUGCAUACUUUGCCGAUAGUAGAUGACAUCAUUUACCACUCUGAGCCAUCUGAGGGCCCAGACGUGUAUGAAAAGAUGGAUGCCAUGAACGAUCAAUUCCUUGAGCUGCGCAAGGAACUCAAAACUCUCAGAGGGAAGGACCUCUUUGGCAAAUCUGCUGCUGAGCUUUGCCUUGUUCCUAAUGUCAAGAUUCCUGUCAAGUUCAAAGUGCCUAACUUUGAAAAGUACAAAGGAAACACUUGCCCACUCAGCCAUUUGGUUAUGUAUGCACGAAAAAUGUCGACUCAGAACGACAAUGAUCAACUCUUGAUCCAUUACUUCCAGGAUAACCUGUCCGGUGCCGCCUUGAGAUGGUACAUGGGUUUGGACAGCUCGAACAUCCGCUCCUUCAAUGACCUUGGCGAAUCCUUCGUCAAGCAAUACAAAUACAACGUUGAUAUGGCUCCCGAUAGGGACCAGCUGAGGGCCAUGUCCCAGAAGGAUAAAAAAACUUUUAAGGAGUACGGCCAGAGGUGGCGAGAAUUGGCUGCACAGAUUGUGCCUCCGCUAGAAGAGAAAGAGAUUACCAAGAUCUUUCUAAAACCUUGAGUUCAUUCUACUAUGAGCGGAUGAUUGCUAGCGCUCCUUCUGACUUCACCGAGAUGGUAAACACGGGGAUGCGUUUAGAAGAAGGAGUCAGGGAAGGGAGCCUGACCAAAGAAGAAGGCUCUUCUGCCAAACAAUAUGGGGCGUUUGCGAAGAAGAAAGAUGGCGAGGCACAUGCUGUGACCUCCCAUAUUAAAUCUAGAAGACCCUCUGUGAAGAGGAAGACUGUGCAUUCCGCCAGUAAUCAGCACCAGAUGGAUCAUAUAGCACCUGCAUUCAGAGAAAACCAACAUUAUCAACAUUAGAACCAGCAACAACAACAUCAACAGUAUCAACAACAACAACACUGUCCUCAACAGCAGGCCUACCAGCCUCAAAACAACAAUCAAACCAGCACUAGCUAUGAUAGGAAGAGGGUCAGUUUUGAUCCUAUUCCCAUGACCUACGCAGAGCUAUAUCCUUCUUUAAUUGAAAGGAAGUUGAUCACUCCACGUGACCCACCUGCUAUACCUACCAACCCUCAGUGGUGGUAUAAGCCUGAGCUUCAUUGUGUUUAUCAUUCCGGUUCUCCCAGACAUGAUGUGGAGAACUGUUACCCUCUCAAUACCAAGGUUCAAGACCUUGUUAGAAGUGGUAUUCUGUUUUUCGAGGACAUAGGUCCUAAUGUGAAGAAGAACCCAUUGCCCGAGCAUGGGAAAUCUGCUGUUAACAUGGUUCAGGGUUGCCCUGGCAAAUAUAAGGUCCGAUAUGUCAACCAUAUCCGACAAUCUUUGGUCGAGAUGCACAGACAGUUGUGUGGAUACAGUCAUUACGAGCAUGACCAUGACAGUUGCCGUGUUUGUACUGUCAAUGAGAGGGGAUGUCGACAAGUUAGAAAAGACAUCCAAGAAAUGCUGGAUCAGGGUGUAAUUGAGAUACUUCAGAAUCGUGAUGAGGAUGAUGAAGUUAAUGUGAUAUCACCUGUAUUUAGGAUACCUGAGCCUGUUGUCGUCAGAUAUGAUGGCAGCAAGCAGAAGGCUUCUCCUACUCUCAUAAUUAAGCUAGUUGGCCCUAUGCCUUAUUCUUCUGACAAGGCCGUUCCCUAUCGAUAUAAUGUAGUGGCAUUAGAAGAUGGGAAGAAGGUGCCUCUAUCCUCCACUUCUGUUGUUAAUAUUGCUGACGUCAGCGGUUUGACCCGUAGUGGUCGUGGUUUUUCGGCGCCGCCAAAACCCCAAGCUGACACCAGAAGAGUUGAUACUGUUGAUAAUGUCGUUCGUCCUUUGGGGAAUUCUUCUGUUUCUCCGAAUCCGGCACUUGCUGUUAAUAGACCUGCCGCCGCUACUAAAACUCCUGCGCCUACUGGCCAGAAUGGCAUGAUGAAAGAGGACUGUGAUGAGAUGUUGAGGCUCAUUAAGAGGAGUGAAUACAAUGUUGUAAAUCAGCUUCUACAAACGCCUUCAAAGACAUAUGUGUUGUCUUUAUUGAUGAAUUCUGAGCCACACCGUGAAGCUUUGCAGAAGGUGUUGGACGUGGUGUAUGUAGAUCAUGACGUCACAAUAGAACAAUUUGAUAACAUUGUUGCAAACAUUACUACUUGUAACAAUAUGAGUUUCUGUGAUGCUGAUCUCCCCGAGGAGGGAAGGAACCACAAUUUGGCUCUACACAUUUCCAUGAAUUGCAAGGAUGAUUCCUUGUCUAAUGUGCUGGUAGACACAGGAUCAUCGCUAAAUGUGUUGCCAAAAUCCACUCUGGCGAAACUUUCUUAUCAGGGGCCUCCCAUGAGGCAGAGUGGAGUCGUUGUUAAGGCUUUUGAUGGAUCCAGGAAAACUGUGAUUGGAGAGGUUGAGCUCCCAAUCAAGAUUGGACCUAGUGAUUUCCAUAUCACUUUCCAGGUCAUGGAUAUCCACCCAUCAUAUAGCUGCUUGCUUGGCAGACCAUGGAUUCAGGAGGCAGGCACCGUGACAUCCACCCUACACCAAAAGUUGAAAUUCGUCAAGAAUAAGAAGUUGGUGGUGAUAGGGGAAGAGAAGGAUCUCUUGGUAAGCCAUUUGUCUUCCUUUUCCUAUAUAGAUGCUGAGGAUGAGGUUGGGACGCCGUUCCAAGCCUUAUCUAUUGAUGAGCCUUUAAGGAAAGGAACUUCUUCAUUUGCGUCCUACAAUGAUGCGAAGUUGGCCAUUGAGCAUGGUGCAACUACUGGUUUAAGACAAAUGAUUAAGCUGGAAGACAAUAAAUCCCGGGCUGGCAUAGGGUACUCUUCAGGCACAUUUAAUGAGCACGGUUUAUUCCAGAGUGGAGGUUUCAUCCACACGAUCGAAGACCAAGAGGCUGCUGCUAUAGUGGAAGAUGAUGCAGAGGAAGAUUCUGGCAACUUUGUCAUCCCUGGAGGAGUCUGCAAUAAUUGGGUCGUUGUUGAUGUUCCAACAGUUGUCCAUAAGUCUACGUAAUAUGUUCACCUUUGUUUAAAAACCCUUCUCCCAUGCCAAAAGGAGAAGUGAUGACACUGUUGGCACAUUAAUACAAUGAUAUUCAUUCAAUAAUUACAUGUUAAAUGUUUGUUUUUCCAAAUCAUUUUCCCUUUUUGCUUUUUUCAUGAAAUUGGUGAUCACUAAAAAACCCUAAAAAGAGAAUCUUUUCAUCUGCAUAAUGAUUUGCCUUGUUUGAAAUCUGAAAUCUCUUUUAUAUCCAAAAUCAUUAUGCAGGUUGAUCAAAACCCAUUGAACAUAAUGAUCCAACACCAUCUCCCAACUUUGAGUUCCCUGUAUUUGAGGUAGAAGAAAAUGAUGUUGAAAAGAUUCCUGAUGAGAUUACCCGUCUGCUAGAGCACGAAGAGAAGGUCAUUCAGCCGCAUCUUGAGAAUCUGGAAACAGUCAACUUGGGGUCUGAAGAUUGUGUUCACGAAGUGAAGAUUGGGGCACUCCUUAAAGCAUCUGUGAAGAAGGGGUUGAUUGAGUUGCUACGAGAAUAUGUCGACGUCUUUGCCUGGUCGUAUGAAGACAUGCCUGGUCUAGAUACAAAUAUCAUGCAACAUUUCCUGCCUUUGAAGCCUGAGUGUGUGCCUGUGAAGCAGAAGCUCAGAAGAACUCAUCCUGAUAUGGCAGUGAAGGUUAAAUAAGAAGUUCAGAAGUAAAUUGAUGCGAGGUUUCUGGUGACUUCUACAUAUCCUCAAUGGGUGGCCAAUAUUGUGCUCGUGCCUAAGAAAGAAGGAAAAGUCCGAAUGUAUGUGGACUAUAGAGACUUGAAUAAAGCUAGUCCGAAAGAUGAUUUUCCUCUACCACACAUUGAUAUGUUGGUAGACAAUACAACUAAAUUCAAUGUUUUCUCAUUCAUGGACGGAUUUUCCGGUUAUAACCAGAUUUAAAAUGGCACCCGAGGAUAUGGAGAAGACAACAUUCAUCACACCUUGGGGAACAUUCUGUUAUCGAGUGAUGCCCUUCGGUUUGAAGAACACCGGAGCCACGUAUUAACGAGCUAUGACUACCUUGUUUCCUGAUAUGAUGCACAAGGAGAUCGAGGUAUAUGUUGAUGACAUGAUUGCAAAGUCGAGAAUGGAAGUUGAACAUGUAGAGCACUUGUUAAAGCUUUUUUAGUGUUUGAGGAAGUAUAAGCUUCGUUUGAAUCCUAACAAGUGUAUAUUCGGAGUCCGUUCCGGCAAGUUAUUGGGAUUUAUUGUCAGCGAGAGAGGUAUUGAAGUUGAUCCUGCCAAGGUCAAAGCAAUACAAGAGAUGUCUGCGCCCAAAACUGAGAAGCAAGUCCGAGGUUUUCUUGGCCGCUUGAAUUAUAUUUCCAGAUUUAUAUCUCACAUGACUGCUACAUGUGCGCCUAUAUUCAAGCUCCUCCGGAAAGAUCAGCGUCAUGAUUGGACCGAGGAUUGCCAAAAGGCCUUUGACAGUAUUAAAGAGUAUCUGUCUGAGCCUCCGAUUCUGUCUCCGCCUAUGGAAGGGAGACCCUUGAUUAUGUAUCUGACAGUUCUUGAAGACUCCAUGGGUUGUGUCCUUGGUCAGCAAGAUGAAUCAGGGAAAAAAGAAUAUGCCAUCUACUAUCUGAGUAAGAAGUUCACUGAUUGUGAGUCUCGAUACUCGAUGCUUGAGAAAACAUGUUGUGCUUUGGCUUGGGCUGCUAAGCGCUUACGCCAGUAUAUGUUAAAUCAUACGACUUGGUUGAUAUCCAAUUUGGCUUGGGCUGCUAAGCGCUUACGCCAGUAUAUGUUAAAUCAUACGACUUGGUUGAUAUCCAAAAUGGAUCCAAUUAAGUAUAUCUUUGAGAAGCCUGCUUUAACUGGGAGGAUUGCCCGUUGGUAGAUGCUGUUGUCUGAGUAUGAUAUUGAGUAUCAAGCUCAGAAGGCUAUUAAAGGAAGUAUCUUGGCUGACCACUUGGCACAUCAACCAAUUGAGGAUUAUCAGUCAUUUCAGUACGACUUCCCUGAUGAGGAGAUUCUGUAUUUGAAAAUGAAAGAUUGCGAUGAGCCUACGCUCGAUGAAGGGCCAGAGCCUGAAUCCCGAUGGAGCAUGGUGUUUGAUGAUGCUGUAAAUCAAUAUGGAAAUGGUAUUGGGGUAGUGAUUAUUACUCCUCAAGACACACAUUUUCCUUUUAUAACAAGGCUAACUUUCAAAUGCACGAAUAAUAUGGCGGAAUAUGAGGCAUGUAUUAUGGGUUUAGAAGAAUGUAUUGAUCUUAGGAUCAAGUAUCUUGAUGUUUAUGGUGAUUCGGCCCUUGUUGUUAAUCAGAUUAAGGGUGAAUGGGAGGCGAAUCAGCCUGGCCUCAUCCCAUAUAGAGAUUAUGCGAGGAGGAUUUCAAUGUUCUUUAUUGAGGUUGACUUCCAUCAUAUUCCUCGAGAUGAGAAUCAGAUGGCAGAUGCUCUUGCUACACUUGCUUCGAUGAUUGUGGUGAAAUUCUGGAAUGAAGUCCCCAAUAUUACUAUAAUGCGCUUGGAUAGACCAGCUCAUGUAUUUGCAGUAGAAGAAGUGAAAGAUGAUAAGCCAUGGUAUAUUGAUAUCAAGUGCUUUCUCUAGAGUCAGAUUUACCCGCCUGGGGCAUCUGUUAAAGAUAAGAAGACUUUGAGGAGAUUGUCUGACAGUUUCUACCUCAAUGGCGAUGUGCUUUAUAAGAGGAAUUUUGACAUGGUCCUGCUUAGAUGCGUGAAUAUACACGAAGCAGACCGGUUGAUGACUGAAGUCCAUGAGGGUUCAUUUGGUACUCAUUCCAAUGGACAUGUCAUGGCAAAGAAGAUGUUGAGAGCAGGCUACUAUUGGCUGACAAUGGAGUCUGACUGCUGCAAGUAUGUGAAGAAAUGCCAUAAGUGUCAGAUUUAUGCGGAUAAGAUUCAUAUUCCCUUGACACUUCUGAAUGUUAUUUCCUCACCAUGGCCUUUCUCUUUGUGGGGAAUUGACAUGAUUUGCAUGAUAGAGCCGAAAGCAUCCAACGCUCACAGGUUUAUUCUCGUAGCAAUUGAUUACUUCACCAAAUGGGUUGAAGCGGCGUCAUAUGCGAACGUGACCAGGCAAGUGGUUCUGAAGUUCAUCAAGAAUCAACUCAUAUGCCGUUAUGGUGUGCCAGACAAGAUCAUUACUGAUAAUGGGUCUAACUUGAACAACAAGAUGAUGAAAGAGAUGUGUAGCGAGUUCAAGAUUGCACAUCAUAAUUCUUCUCCUUAUAGACCCAAGAUGAAUGGGGUUGUUGAAGCAUCUAAUAAGAAUAUCAAGAAGAUUAUCCAGAAGAUGGUUGUUACGUACAAAGAUUGGCAUGAGAUGCUGCCAUUUGCUUUGCAUGGUUAUCGUACAUUUGUCCGCACUUCAACAGGGGCAACCCCUUUCUCCCUUGUAUAUGGCAUGGAGGCUGUGCUUCCCGUGGAGGUUGAGAUCCCAUCAAUGAGAGUCUUGAUGGAAGCCAAGUUGACUGAGGCUGAAUGGGUUCAGAGUCGUUAUGACCAACUGAAUUUGAUAGAAGAGAAGAGAUUGACUGUCAUGUGCCAUGGUCAGUUAUAUCAGCAAAGGAUGAAGAAAGCCUUUGAUAAGAAGGUCAAGCCUCGUGUGUUCCGAGAAGGUGAAAUUGUGCUCAAGAAAGUCUUGUCUUUCGCGCCGAUUCCAGGGGCAAGUGGACUCCAAACGAUGAAGGUCCAUAUGUUGUUAAGAGAGCCUUUUCAGGCGGUGCUUUGAUACUUACAACUAUGGAUGGGGAGGAUUUCAUCCGUCCUGUAAACUCAGAUGCAGUCAAGAAAUACUUCAUCUAAAAUAAAACAGAAUAGCUCGCUAGUUGAAAACCCGAAAGGGCGGCUUAGGCAAAAAAAGCGUCUCGUGGAUAAAAACUCGAAGGGCGAUCCAGGCAAAAGUUAGAGACAUAUAAAAAUAUAUAUAUAAUAUAUAUAUAUAUAUAUAUAUAUAUAUAUAUAUAUAUAUUAUAUAUAUAUAUAUAUAUAUAUAUAUAUAUAUUAUAUAUAAUAUAUAUAUAUAUAUAUAUAUAUAUAUAUAAUAUAUUAUAGUAUAUGAUAUAUAAUAAUAUAUAUAUCCCGCUAGAUUGAGUACCUCACCCUGGGGCAAUCUAGGCAAAAAUCAGGGAUUUGGCAAGUAAUUGCAUCCUGACAAGACUUUGUUCUACAGCCGUCAUCUGUCAGAGAUUUUCGCUCAGUCAUCGUCAACUGAAGCUUCAAAUACAUUGGAUUCAGAGUUGGUGGAGAAAUGGUCAUUAUGUUCAAUGUAGCCCUUUUCUAAUAUAUAUCACCAAUUUCAAAUUUGUAAAGAUCCAUGGAGUCUUGCCAUUUGCAGACUCCCAUUCCAUCAAAUAAAUUUGAGCCUUUACCCAAUUCUUUGCACUCUUAUUGGUUUCUGUUUAACAAAUGUUUACAUGUUUUAAUUGAUAAAUAUCAUUGUUUUAAAUAAAUAAAGUUUUUAUAAACUGUUUUUAAACAAAGUGAACAUUCAGAACAACCGAAAGGAUAAUUGAGACAUCUUCAGUGCUCUCCCAAGAACAGUAUGAUCUCCAAAAGGGUAAGACAUUUGUUCAUUAUUCCUAGCAUACUUGUAUCCUCUUCAUUAUCUUUCAGGUUGUCUCCUCCGCGAACGCAGAAGAGUGUUAAGCAUCACCAAUUUCCGUAGAGAGUCUGGAGCUUUGGUCCUGGUUUGUUUAGGGAAGUAUAUCUCUAACCCCCUCAACUCCCCAGAGAGUCUGGAGUUUGGGUUUCAGUCUUCUAGCUCCCCAGUGAGUCUGGAUCUAGCAUUUGUGCUAUCAAUUGUAUGGUUGUCAUCCCUGUCACAACGCGAAAAACAACCGACGGAAAAAAUUACAGAUUAUAGAGCCGCCACCGACGCUAUUCAUCCUAUGACGGAAAGGGAGCGCAGGACUAACCUAAGAAAGGGAAAGGAAUGGUCUUACGACCAGAGAUUACAAGGUACAUGAGUCGGUUACGCAAGGGGAAGGUAUUAGCACCCCUCACGUCCGUCGUACUCGACGGGAUCCAUGCUCAAAAGAUAGCUCAAAGAGUAAGAAAAGGUUGCUAAUAAAACUGCUCAAAGAAAAUGCACAAACUGGAAUAAUAAACAGGUGGGAGGAAAAAACGGAGGAAGUGGACUCGGCAGGAUGUCGCAUCUUGGGCCUACGUAGUUUGUCAGAAACAAACAUCAGAGUCAACGUAGUUCGGGGAAAGGGAGACAUGCUCACUAAGACAUCGCGUCCUAUGCCUACGUAUCUUCUCUAUCCAGAGGAGAAUCAGAGCACUCGUAGCUCGGCUAAUGCACGCCAAAACAAGACACUAAAAAGGAGACGUUGAGACGUCAAAAGAAACACCCAAAAGGAAACAGAUUGCCAAUACAUGGACUUACACCCGACUCCUGACAAUAACCAAACAAAAGAAAACAGAAUGCCAAUACAUGGACUUACAUCCGACUCCCAACAACAACAAACAAAGAGGAAACAAAAUGCCAAUACAUGGACUUAUAUCCGACUCCUAACAAUAACAAAUAAACAGGAAACAGAAUGCCAAUACAUGGACUUAUAUCCGACUCCUAACAAUAACAAACGCUAACCAGCGAACACCAAAGAAAAAGGUUAUCAGAAUGAACCCCAACAAAGUAACCAAAUAUCCAAAGAUGAACCCCAAAGAUGAACCCCAAGUGAAUAAUCACCACAAACGUCGCAAACGAACCCCAAGUGAGUGACAACCGUCACAAAUGAACCCCAAAGAUGAUAACCAUCAUCACAAACGUCGCAAAUGAACCCCAAGUGAGUGACAACCGUCACAAAUGAACCCCAAAGAUGAACCCCAAAUGAUACCGGUAAACCCCAAUAUGAACCCCAAGUGAUACAGGUAAACCCCAAUAUGAAUGACAACAGUCAUAAAUGAACCCCAGAGAUGAACCCCAAAUAAAUCUCAAAGAUGAACCCCCAUAAGGUAUAAACAUACCACACACGCCCACGCUGGGCAAACAAGUACUCACACCAAAACAAAGAAGAGGGUGAACACACGCAAACAACACAACAUAAAAGAAAAAGGGUGACGACACACAUAAAAAAACAAAAGGGUUCCCGGAGAGAUUGCUCACAACCUCCUGCUUACGUAUCUCAUCUGGUAUGAGAAUCAGGGCGACGUAGUUCCCCUUAACAGGGGAAAGGAGACAACAAACUAAUAGGGAGACUAAGACUCGAGCCUAAUAGUUGUCAUGCCAACAAUAUCCCUAAGUCGGGAAUAAGGGUGAUGAACACACACAAAAAAACAAAAGGGUGCCCGGAGAGAUUGCUCGCAACCUCCUGCCUACGUAUCUCAUCUGGUAUGAAAAUCAGGGCGACGUAGUUCCCCUUAACAGGGGAAAGGAGACAACAAACUAAUAGGGAGACUAAGACUCGAGCCUAAUAGUUGUCAUGNNNNNNNNNNNNNNNNNNNNNNNNNNNNNNNNNNNNNNNNNNNNNNNNNNNNNNNNNNNNNNNNNNNNNNNNNNNNNNNNNNNNNNNNNNNNNNNNNNNNNNNNNNNNNNNNNNNNNNNNNNNNNNNNNNNNNNNNNNNNNNNNNNNNNNNNNNNNNNNNNNNNNNNNNNNNNNNNNNNNNNNNNNNNNNNNNNNNNNNNNNNNNNNNNNNNNNNNNNNNNNNNNNNNNNNNNNNNNNNNNNNNNNNNNNNNNNNNNNNNNNNNNNNNNNNNNNNNNNNNNNNNNNNNNNNNNNNNNNNNNNNNNNNNNNNNNNNNNNNNNNNNNNNNNNNNNNNNNNNNNNNNNNNNNNNNNNNNNNNNNNNNNNNNNNNNNNNNNNNNNNNNNNNNNNNNNNNNNNNNNNNNNNNNNNNNNNNNNNNNNNNNNNNNNNNNNNNNNNNNNNNNNNNNNNNNNNNNNNNNNNNNNNNNNNNNNNNNNNNNNNNNNNNNNNNNNNNNNNNNNNNNNNNNNNNNNNNNNNNNNNNNNNNNNNNNNNNNNNNNNNNNNNNNNNNNNNNNNNNNNNNNNNNNNNNNNNNNNNNNNNNNNNNNNNNNNNNNNNNNNNNNNNNNNNNNNNNNNNNNNNNNNNNNNNNNNNNNNNNNNNNNNNNNNNNNNNNNNNNNNNNNNNNNNNNNNNNNNNNNNNNNNNNNNNNNNNNNNNNNNNNNNNNNNNNNNNNNNNNNNNNNNNNNNNNNNNNNNNNNNNNNNNNNNNNNNNNNNNNNNNNNNNNNNNNNNNNNNNNNNNNNNNNNNNNNNNNNNNNNNNNNNNNNNNNNNNNNNNNNNNNNNNNNNNNNNNNNNNNNNUAUCAUGAAUGAUCAACAUGCAAAAUAUCAAAUCCAGAAAGAUUCAAAUGCUAUGUGAACAAAAAUGUGACAAUCCAAUGCCAAAAAUGUGACACAAAUUGUCACAUUUUUCUUCAUGUGUCAAAAGUGAUGAUAGCAUAUGAGAAAAAUUCCAAACCAAUGCUCAAAAAUUCACAUCAUGUAUGAUCAUUAAGCAUGCAAAAAAUCAGAUCAAUUGGAUCAAAGAUGAAGAUUUCACAAAGCAAUGAAUGCAACAUAUCAAAAUAGCAUGGCAUGGAUCAAAAAAUUCACAAAUAAAAAUCCAGCAAACAAAAAUUCAUGAAAAUAAUAUCAAAAAAAAAAACUAGACAUCAAAACAGAACUAUGAAAAAAAAUUGGAGUUAAUUUGGAUCAUUUUUCAAUUUUUAAUGAUUUUUCAAAGUAACUACAAUAAUAUGAAAUCACAUGGAAAUAUGGAGGGAAAAGAGAUAUUUCAAAUAAUACUCAGAAUAUUCACAUCCACACGAUCAGGCGUGAGAAUCACAUCAACGGUCCAGGUUUGAACAUCAAAACAUACAGUUUCACUUAAUACAAUCAGCAUGCAUGGUCAACAGUCAAACGCACACGCAGCAAGGUCAAAGCAACAAGAGCCAAUCAUACAGACACACAAGCGUACACACUCAGCAGACAGCAUGGCACAAUGAAGUGACGCGUUUCAUUAAAUGAUUUGGCAUGCACACUCAGUCAGUCAACAUACACAUAACACGGUCAAACGAAUCAUGGCCAAUGGAAUAAACACGCAAGGCACACAGUCAGCAGACAACAAGGCAAACCCUAGCAAGUUGCAGAGACGCCAGAGCUAAGCUCCGGUCAUCUUCUCCGGCCAUCCACACGGCGGAGCUCAACCAAAAUUUUCCAGAAUUUAACAAAUUUUAUACCGUUCAAACCGCCAUGCAACACACAUUCCAAAUAUCAUAUUCAUACAUCCUAAUUCUUCCUAGAUUGCACGGAUCGAACGAAAACAUUUUCAUGAGCAAAAAUUCCAGUUCACAUAACAUGCACAAUACUCAACCAAAUCAAGAUCUAAACACAUGUACAAGGUUUGCUAAGUGAGAUCUACAAAUCUAUGGCCUUAAAACAGCGAAAUAAGAGAUCGAAUUUUGACUCACAUGGAAAUUGAAGCUUCUGAAUUCGUGAUCUCAAGUGCUCUAGAGCUCCAGAUUUACUCUACUUUACUCCUCUUGAAGCUUUGUGCAAAAAGAAUUGGAUGAAAACACCUGGAUCUGCUUCAAUUUCAAGCUUCCAUUUCCAUGAGAUUGCACUUGCACUGUACGAAUUCUUGCUCAAUUGCAACAAACAAUGGUUGGAUCUUGCUCAGAAUUGCAUGAGGAUUAAGAAUAUGCAAAGAGGUUUGGUGUUUGUGUGAAGAAAUGAAGAAUUCGAAGUGAGAGAAAAAAUGGAGGGAACUUUGAAAUUCUAGAUCUGAAAUUCUGUUAUGGUGGUUAUGGAUUAGGGUUUGGCUUUUAUAUGGCAUGCUAAUCACACUGAAAAUCCAAUUAGGCCUUGGUUAAUCAUGAUUAGUGAAUUAUAAGGCAAAGUGAAAAAAAUGCAAAUGAAACUAGCAUGGCCAUGUCCCACGUGCUCUUCCUCAUGCAAGGCUUGGUAUUCACUCAAAAUCAUCCAAGGAUCAACAUGGAAUUGUUAAUUUGCUUGUAUCAUAAGCCAAUUGGUAUUCACUCAAAAUCAUCCAAGGAUCAACAUGGAAUUGUUAAUUUGCUUGUAUCAUAAGCCAAAUUUAAAUUGUGGAAAUUCCCUCCAAAAUGAUCACAUGAGAAAUGAUGGUCAUACAAGCCCCUCCCAUGCAUGGCAAAGAUUGUUUUUAGAGGUCUUGAUCAUUAGAAGCAUUUUGCAAAAAGAAUGGACCAAAUUGGAGCAUUGCAUCAAAAGUUAUGACACUUUGAAUUUCCAUGCACACCUUGUGAUCAAAUGACUAUAACUCCUUAACCAGUCAUCAUAUGGACAUGAAUUAGGGCUUUUUGGAAAGGGGAGACAAAGAUCUACAACUUUUAUGUUCACCAAAUAUCCAUUUGAAACAUCUUUGAUAUUGAAAAGUCAAGUUGAAAGUGGACUAAAAUCUUGCCAAAUUUGGAAACUUUGAAUUAUAGGUCACUUUCCAUUUUUGGUAACUUUUGCCAUGACCUUUGAAUCUUCAAGAUGGAUGUUUAGAAUGAUGAAUGGACCUCUUUUGAACAUGAUUGAGGUGUCUCAACUCAUUUCCCCACCUCAUAGCCCUAAGUUGACUGCACAGUUGACUUUUUGGUCCUCAGAUGAUCUUGAAAUGCCUUGAUGAACUUGAGCCUUUACCACUUGAUGAAAUGGCUUCAAAAUGGAACCCUAGCUCAUGUAAGCUCCUCCUGAUAACCAUGUGAUCCUCAUCCCAAGAAAAAUACCUCAUCUCUAGGCUUCAAAAUGGAACCCUAGCUCAUGUAAGCUCCUCCUGAUAACCAUGUGAUCCUCAUCCCAAGAAAAAUACCUCAUCUCUUUGAGAAACCCUAGUUGGAAGAAUGGCAUUGAUUAGGGUUGACCAGAGGUCACAACCCUAAUCCAAAGGAACUUGAGAAUGAGCUAUGAAACCCUUGAUGACGAUAGAACCAUGAUGAUGGUAAUAUAACCUUGCAAAUAAGAUGAUGCUCAAGACAUUUGCAGAAUCAAGAAACCCUAAUUGAAGCUCAUGCUCUCAGAUGGUUGAUCAUCAAUUCAUAGAGACCCUCAGGCUUGAAUCAUGUACCUUCUCCAUCUUUUGAAAAGACUUUGGAGGAUGACCUUCUUAUUUCCAUAUGAUAUGCAAAAUGCAAUGCCUAAAGCUCUAAAAUAUGAAAUGCACUGUGUCAAACUAGUCUCAAGAAGAGGAGGGCAAAUUUUGAGGUAUUACAGCUGCCCCUAUUCAAUCCACUGUGAACCUGUCGAUAUGAACAGCCUCGGCUUUCAGAUGAUCAUGGUGAAGAAUGGUUGAAUACAAAGAACAGACGAACAAUUUGCGCUCCGCUGGGAAUUAAGUAACAAUGCCUGUCAGAAUCGGCAAAGAGGUAGUCUUGAAAGAAGAAUCCGUCUGGUACGGUGAGAGUCGGUCUGAAUACCGAAAAAGAAUGUUAAUCUGGAUACCAAAAUAAAUGGUACACAAUAAUAACCAUGGCCUGAAUGCCGCUCAUCAGUCUGAAAACUGGAAAUGACUUCGAUCUGAGCAUCGGAAGAUAUGAGAUUAUUAAUAUCGGUCUGAACACCGAGAGACUGGCCUGAAUGCCACUUCGGUCUGAAUACCGGAAAAUUGGCCUGAAUGCCACAAGUUGCAUCGACCUGAAAAUCGGUCUGAACACCGAGAGACUGGCCUGAAUGCCACUUCGGUCUGAAUACCGGAAAAUUGGCCUGAAUGCCACAAGUUGCAUCGACCUGAAUGUCGGAAACUUCUUCGAUCUGAACAUCGGAAAAUCUAGCCUGAACGCCACUUUUGCUGGGGAUUUUCUCUUUGUUAUUACUAUUAUUACUUUUCUUUUGCUUUUUUUUUUUGCUUUUCUUGAACCCCCAAAACUUCUUUGAUUUUUCUUUCUUGGACCCCUACACAAAUAUUUUCUUUCGCGCGGAUGAUCCCUGAUCACCGUAUUUGAACCCCGACAACUUCAUGUCACUCUUGCUGCCAAACACUGAACCCCGUUCUCCAUUUGAACCCUAAUUGCCUGAGGAUAACUCUCGAUCGUCAUUGUGAACCCCAUUCUCCAGAAAACACCCUGUGUCUCCUUUUCUCCAGUUGAACCCCGUUCUCCAUGCUCCCGUGCUAAUUCUGUUGGCAACGUCGGAAAUAACACCAACCACCACUCUGACGGCGACAUAUCAGAGGGUAUACCUUCACAACAGGAAGGUAACAUGUGCAUUUCUUCCCUUGAAGACACCCAUAACGACUUCCCUUGGCCUCGCCAAAGUCUAAGGUGACACAUGAUCAGAAGACAAUCCUGAGGACCUCAUCCCGGAUACAAUCUUCAACUCCAAUCUCCAGUUGAACCCCGUGUUAGACUAUGGCACGGAUCUAGAAGGGGGGAUUGAAUAGAUCCCAAUUAAAAUUUGAGUCGGCGCUACCGAUUUAAAAUUUGGUUUUGAAGAUUUGUUUUAAAUGCGGAAGCGGCCGAGGAAAAUAUAGUUUAAAACGAACUGUUAUUGGAAAACCGGAUAUGCGUCAAGCCUAUGGAUUAGUGAUAACGUAGAAUACGAAUCACUACACUAGUCACACAAUCAAUGAUUUGUUUCACUUACUAGGAUUCCUAGUUCCAAUGAUUCAAAGAGCAAACCAAACUAGAUACACAACUAAGAUAAUUUUGGUUUAGGCAAAUUAUCAAACACUUGGUGUGCAAAAACACUCCAAGUGAUAUUUAUGUUGAGUAAGAGAUUUCAAUUAGUCUAGUACAAUAUUUUAUUGUACUUUGAAUUCAAAAACAGAGUUUUAACUUCUUACUCAAUUAAUAUCAAGGUUUGAUAAAAGUGCUUAUACAAAAAUCACUUAAUUUUUAAGCUAAAAACAAAUAUGCAGAAAAUUAGAGAAGGCAAAGAUUUGAUGAGGCAGUUCCCCCGUCGUCCUCGCUUCGGGGUACGUCUGCCCUCAAUUCUAAAACUAGAAUUGAGAUUGCUUUAAUAGAUAUCACCUGUUGAGUAUAACAGUUUAUACAAGGAUUGAAAAGCAAAUAUACAACAGAAUUCUCAAGACGUUGAAUGUUGCUUUCACUCCUUGUUCCUUGAUUCAAGGUGAAUCAAGUCCUUNCAACAUCAAAAAGAGAAAAGGAACGAGUAGUCAACGUAACAUGAAAUUUAACAGGAGAUAACAAUAUCAGAUAACAAUAUCACACCAAAUAUCAUUAAUGAACAAAAUAAAAGAAGAUAAUCAUUAAAUUUGAUUUGCACAAACGAGCACAAUAGAAAAAUAGUUCAGUCAAACAAAAAAAAAUACAGAUGCAUAUGUAGUUCUAUGUCCUAAUGGUCUCGUCCUCGAUGGUAACAGAUAUCCGGGUUUCUGUAGGGGUCUGCCAGAGACGAUAUUUGGUCAGCAACACCACCUAGAUACUUGAUACCCACGUCGACCGACCGCUCCUGGCGUUCAAAUGUUUCGGUAAAUGCUGCAUACCGUUCAUUCAUGCUUGUAGAGAGGUUAUCGAGCCUCUCAUUUUGUGCUUGAAGUUGGCUGCUAAUGUGAGCAUAGCGCUCAUCCUGAGUUUGCAUGAAGGAUUGUUGAGCCAACUGCAAAUUUCGCAUCAUAUCCAAAAGUUCAGAAGAGUUUGUGUACUGCGGAGGAGACGGAGGAGAUUCUUCAUCACCUUAUUGAUAGGGCUGAUAGAAUUGGCAUUGUGUUGACCAGCCCGUAUGUUGCCAUUCACCCCAGCCACCCUGGUUGGGGGUAUCGUCUUCAGUUGAAUGUGAAUUCUGAACCCAAACGGAGUUUGUGUGGUCGUGUGUGUCUGUUUGUAGAGGACUGUCAUGCUGAACAAACGCUUGACCUUCUUCUUCUUCUUCGUUUUCCUCUUGAUCUUCUUCUUCACUUUCAUCACUUUCAUCAUCUUCUUCAACAUUCGCAGGAACAAACCCUCUGCGAACAAACUUGUAUAUUCUCCGUUCAUCACACCAAAAAUAUCUCAUCAUAGACAAAGUUUUUGGGCUGAAUUCUUUGUCUGAGGAAAUGGAGGUAUACGGAAAGGACGGAUAAUGAACGUCAGCUGCCGUAAGAACCUCUUGAAUAAAAGAUCCAUAGGCCAGAGUCGUUCCUCGUUCGGAGUCACGUAAACUGAACAUCCCACUAGCAAUGUAGUAGGGCCAGUUUAUUUUCCGCUGAUUCUUUAAGAUGUAUAUGAGAUGAACUUCAGCCUGUUCAACUCGGGAGAGGCCACCCUUCUUAGGUCGCAGGAUGCGUGACACAAUCCACUAGAGAAUGCGCUCACCGGUUUUCAGCUUCCCGGCAGUGACAGUUCGUGGGAACGCGUCACUGUUUACAAUGUGGUCUGGGUAGGGUCGUUUCAGCAUAGCGUUCAGAGUGCUCUUAAACUCAUACCCUUCGAUUGUGUGAGUGUCAGUUACCUCAGCGAGAGGAUUUUCAUCAGCAGCCACGAUCAUGUUAAAAAAUUUAUUCCAAACGGCAGACUUAAAGGAUACCUUUGUUGUGCCGAUCCUGGAGUGAAACUUUUGACCACGAAACUUGUCAUGAAGGCAGGCGUAGAACACACGGACCAGGUCUUCGCUAUAUUUGGCAUUGCAUUCCAGGAAUUUGACAAUGCCGUGAUACUGUAGCAGAGACAUGAUUUCUGCGAGAUGCAUGCGUUCUACGGUGAGUUUGUAGAAUGCAUGCUGCCUCACAACUCCUCUUUUACCAAUAUCUUUGUUGAAGGAAUCGAUGAGAGUCGGUGGAACUAGCGAUACAACGGUAAUGGGUAGAGAGGCAGAGGAUGAUUCCCGUGAUCUCUUACCGAUAGGUCUGCGGGAUGAGGAAGCCAUUGGAAAUGAUUUUGAAGCUUUGUGUGUGGGUAGAGAGUGAAGUUUGGUGAAGGUUUUUGAGAAUGAUUUUGCAAGAAGGAGGUUUCCCUUUUUGUAGAUAAGGAUUUAGGGUUUUGGGAAGAGGAGAGGCCAAGAGACAAUAGACACUAGGUAGAUGCAACUCACAAUGUAGUGGGAAGUUUGAAAUGUAAAUGCACACUUAAUGAGAGUUUAAGAGGAGAGGCCAAGAGACAAUAGACACUAGGUAGAUGCAACUCACAAUGUAGUGGGAAGUUUGAAAUGUAAAUGCACACUUAAUGAGAGUUUGAAUGUAAAUGCAUGGGAAGUUUGAAGGUUUUCUGCAGAGAAAAAUUGAAUUUUCGAGCGAUGCGUCGACCAUACCUCUGCAUGCGUCGACGCAUACUGUUUGAUUUUUGAAAAACAAGAAAAAUGGUAAGAUGUGCGUCGACCAUUGCCCUUUUAUGGUCGACUCAUACAGGUAAUUUUUGCAAUUUUCACUGUUAUGCUCAUAUGCUCACAUGUUUGAUACAUAAUUAGAAUGCCACACAACAUUUAAACAUCCAAACAGUUAAGGCAUAAGAGACGAUACAUAUAUGUACAAUAUUAUCAUGUAGUACAACUAUUUAACUAUGAAGUUUGGGAGAGAGAGAAGAGACAAUAUCACCUCUAUUCCGGAAUGACUUGAUGAACAAUAUGAUUGUGCUUGCAACAACAUUAACUUGUUAUAAGUACAAUAAUAUGGUAUUAAAUGAAAUAAGGUAAAGCAGGCAAUUUAUAAUGCCCGUUCAGAAAUGUCGAGAAUACCAAGUUCUCGGUGAAUAUGAAAGAAAGGCUCAGUAGCUAGCGGCUUUGUGAAAAUGUCCGCUAGUUGAUUUUCAGUAUUUACAUGUUCAAAUACAACAUCACCUUUCUCUACAUGAUCCCGAAGAAAGUGGUGUCGAAUUUCGAUAUGUUUGGUGCGAGAAUGCAACACAGGAUUUUUGGUAAGAUUAAUGGCACUGUAUUAUCACAGAAAAUGGGAAUACGUUCGAGUUUUUGGUUAAAAUCCAAUAGUUGUUGCUUAAUCCAUAGGAUUUGAGCACAACAACUACCGGCGGCAAUGUAUUCCGCUUCGGCGGUUGACAAAGCAACUGAAACUUGUUUCUUGCUAUGCCAACUGACCAAGGAAUUUGAGAAUAAGUGACAAGUGCCACUGGUGCUUUUCCUAUCCGAUUUGCAACCGGCAAAAUCGGAAUCGGAGAAACCUACCAAUGAGCAAUCAUUACCUUUGGAAUACCAUAGUUCAUACUUCGGAGUACCGGAUAGGUAUCGAAGUAUUCGUUUGACAGCUUUUAGAUGGGAUUCCUUGGGACAUGAUUGAUAUCUUGCGCACAUACACACGCUAAACAUAAUGUCGGGACGAGAAGCAGUAAGAUAGAGAAGUGAUCCAAUCAUACCUCUAUACCUUUUUACCUCUACGUCCUUACCGUUUUCAUCUUUAUUCAAGUUUGUACAUGUUGGCAUGGGGGUGUCAAUGNNNNNNNNNNNNNNNNNNNNNNNNNNNNNNNNNNNNNNNNNNNNNNNNNNNNNNNNNNNNNNNNNNNNNNNNNNNNNNNNNNNNNNNNNNNNNNNNNNNNNNNNNNNNNNNNNNNNNNNNNNNNNNNNNNNNNNNNNNNNNNNNNNNNNNNNNNNNNNNNNNNNNNNNNNNNNNNNNNNNNNNNNNNNNNNNNNNNNNNNNNNNNNNNNNNNNNNNNNNNNNNNNNNNNNNNNNNNNNNNNNNNNNNNNNNNNNNNNNNNNNNNNNNNNNNNNNNNNNNNNNNNNNNNNNNNNNNNNNNNNNNNNNNNNNNNNNNNNNNNNNNNNNNNNNNNNNNNNNNNNNNNNNNNNNNNNNNNNNNNNNNNNNNNNNNNNNNNNNNNNNNNNNNNNNNNNNNNNNNNNNNNNNNNNNNNNNNNNNNNNNNNNNNNNNNNNNNNNNNNNNNNNNNNNNNNNNNNNNNNNNNNNNNNNNNNNNNNNNNNNNNNNNNNNNNNNNNNNNNNNNNNNNNNNNNNNNNNNNNNNNNNNNNNNNNNNNNNNNNNNNNNNNNNNNNNNNNNNNNNNNNNNNNNNNNNNNNNNNNNNNNNNNNNNNNNNNNNNNNNNNNNNNNNNNNNNNNNNNNNNNNNNNNNNNNNNNNNNNNNNNNNNNNNNNNNNNNNNNNNNNNNNNNNNNNNNNNNNNNNNNNNNNNNNNNNNNNNNNNNNNNNNNNNNNNNNNNNNNNNNNNNNNNNNNNNNNNNNNNNNNNNNNNNNNNNNNNNNNNNNNNNNNNNNNNNNNNNNNNNNNNNNNNNNNNNNNNNNNNNNNNNNNNNNNNNNNNNNNNNNNNNNUCCAUUUGCGAAAACGAAAGCGAAUUGUAACAGGGAAAUUACUUGCUUCGAAUCGGAGUUGUAACACCCUUUGAGAUAUCUUCGGAAUGUUGUCUCGAUGGAUGGUCUUUGGCGAGACCUCCAAGCUUGGGAGGAGAAUCAUCGUAUUUGAGGCGGAUGAGCAUACCUCGCGGUGUUCCUCAUCGGUGUACUCUUUAUCCUUCCUCAAUCUAUUGGACUUUGUCGCGUUGAUCAUCCCCGGCUCGCACCUUUGAGUAUGGUCUUCUGCUAGAUGACCUGCACCAUGAACAAACAUUACCCUUUCGACGUUCUGCGGAUAGGAUUAAUCAAAAGUUGACAUGUUACAGACUCUAAUCCACAGCCAACUAAUCGUUUAUUAUAUAUUCUAUAUGCUUCUACUCGAUGGAGUAUCAUGAGAAGAUACCUUCGUCGGCCCUUGAAUCGAAUUUUCCCAAGGUUUUCCUUUCCAUUAUUUAAUACAAAACAUUUGCAACGAAAACAUGUAAGUGAGAAACAUUUGGCUUCGCCCUCUUUAAAAAGCUCAUACAUGUUUUAUUUAGAAUGGGCGAAUGAGCACCCUAUUCAAAACAUAACACGCGUUACUAAUGGCCGUUCGGCCCAAAAUUCGGUAAACCACUUUCGUUAAUCUUGUUCUCCCAAUUCUUCCAAAAUCGAUUUUUACGCUCACAACCCCAUUUUGUUUGAGGAGUACGAUGGGAGCGGAAGCUUAUAAUCGAUACCAAUGCGUUACCGCAAUACGUUCUUCAAAUAAAUGGUUUCGGAACUUCACCCCAUGGUCGCCUUCUAUGUGAAACAAAUCGUGUUGUAUUUAAAUUUAUUUUGGCGAAAGCAUUAGGCAAACCUUUCAAAGGCGGCGUACGUAUCGCUCUUGCAUUACUAAAAAGAUAGUCCAACAAAAUCUAGAAAAAAUCACUUUCCACGAUUUUCGAAACCGUAAUAAUUCCUCCUAGACUUUUAAUCCUACGACGGCCCAAAAUAAGCCAUAUGACAGAAGUCGAGAGUCUCGUUUGUUGAAACAGAUAUUAUUGAAUUUAUAAAUGAGCAUCUCGUUUGCUCCCAUUCUUGACAAGCAUCACAAAGGUGAUCCUCUGGUGGAAACUUUUAUUUUGGGGAACCUUAGGACUAGAUCUUUUGAGACUACUUUAUUUAGUAAGUCAAAAUUCACAUGUGCUAAACGCCUAUGCCAUUAACCAUGAUUUCCACUCAUUGUUACAAGGCAUUGCACUUGUUAACGUAUACUUCAUUCAAGUCUAAACAUUAUAGGACAUUAUUCACUCGCAGGCCAUUAAAUACUCUUCUUAUCAUCAUUAUGUACCAAUUUUGCAACAUCUUUUGAAAAUGAUACAUUGUAUCCUUUGUCACAUAAUUGGACUAAUGCUAUAGUCUAGAUUGUGUUUAGACUUUUGACAGCAAUUACAUCAGAAAUGUAGUGGCAAGCAAGUGGUUACCUAACCACUACCUUUACCUAGUAUUGCCCCCGGUUGUUGUCACCAUAGGUCUACAUAAUCCUUCUUCUUAGCCACGAAAGGUCACAUAAGAGUGAUAUGGGUCUCCUGGACAUGUGCCUUGAGCAUCCACUGUCGAGAACCCAUCUCUCUCCGUAGUCUCGAGGCAUUGUACCUACUGGAUGCAAUUACAUGAGAAGGUACCAAUGGCCUUAUUGGGUCCUGAAUGGUGAGAGUAACGAAAUGGUUGCAUUUGGGCACGCCAUUGAUAAAUUGCCUUUAGGAACUAAGAUCUCCCUAAACCUUGCAUUUUGCAAUGGUGGCCUUUUCUUGCAACAAUAAAGACAAGAGAAAGAUUAACAUUUUAAUACCUUUUCUAUCUUCAUUCCUUUUACAAUUUUAUAUUUUUGAUUAUGGCCGUAUAACCAUACUUUUUCGAAAGUUUGAUUUAUCAGAUUGCCAAAGUGUAAUCUUGGGCUCAAAGCACCUUGUCAAAGUUCUGGCCUUUUAGGGUUUCUUUUACUUCACCUUGCCAAAUAUAAACAAGUAUCACACCCAAAAGUUAAUCAUCCUACUUCUAAGUUUCCUCACCAACCUGUUUGGCUUUCUUACUACUAGAAGCUUUUUGAGUGCCUCAGUUUCCUUUCGGAUGUUUCUCGAACUUUUUUAUUCCGAAAUGGGGUAAAAAUUUGUUUUUGAAGGCAAGCCUUUUCUAAAGGCCUCUUUAACUUCACAGUUUGUAAAGUAUCAAAAAGCGCUUGUAAUUCAUGAUGAGACAUACUAGAGGAUUUUUUCAUAUUAGCAUGUCGUUACCCUGUUUCUUUUGUUCUUUUGGAUGAGCACGAUAGGCAUAGGUUUGCGGCUUUCAUUCUUCAUCACUAGAACUUUCAUCAUCGGACGGAGUCGCUAUCGCUUUCCCAAGCUAGGUGUAUGCUCUCCUUGGCUGUGAUGUUUCUUUGUGUGAUGUGUAUGAUUCCUUUCCUUUAGUCUUUUUUGUUCAUCGGACAGUCGUUUGGUAAUGACCGGGCUUUCCCACAAGGUGUAGAGCCCCUCUAGUCAUUUACCUUUUUGAUGUCAUCAUUUUUAGAGUAACCUUGAAUUGUUUUCCGGAAUUACCAAGUUCUUCUCGAAAUGUGGAUGUCAUUUCUUUCUCACGUAACGGUUGUUAACGUUUAACGACACAACCCCAUAUUUUCGCUCUUGUCCUCUUCUUCUUCGCGCUCGAGGAAAUAAUCACUUUGCUCUUUUUGCUGAGACUUCGAGGAGGAAGUCUUAAGAGGCUAUGGAUUUUCUUUUCACUCACCUUUUGCUUUUGUCUUCUUUUCCUUCUUUUUCGUGUUGUUCUAGGCUCAAGAGUACUUGUUCUGCUCUUGUUAAUUGCCAAAUAAGUUGUUGUCAAGUCUAAUAUGGUAAGAUCCAUUUGCUUCUUUGAUGCCGCGGUCACUUUUCGGCUUGCCAUUUCCCUUGUUAAGACAUCUCAAGAUCUUUAUUAGUAGCAACAUCAUUGGAAACCGACCUACCUAGUCGAAUGUAUCGAAUUGAUAAGAUGAUGAGGUAAAAUCUCUUUUGCAUGUCGGCAUAUGGUUUCCCCUUGCUCCAUUGAAAAAGAGAUCAAAAACUCUUGUUGUUAGUGUGGUUGAUUCUUGCACAUUAACAUCAUUCGUCCCCUCAUGGGCCCAAUUUGUAGUGAAAAUCCCACAUGGCCUUGCAGUAGACAAUGGGAUUACACGUAGUAUUCAUCUACCACCUAAUGAGGAGAUUAGGAUAUUUUUGGCUUUCCAAUCAUAAUUGUAUUUCUUUUUCAUCAUUCAUCGGUCCAUUUGUGCUUCGGGCUUAGGCACUAAUUCAUUAUUCUCAUUGCGUCAUGGUUAUUUCAAUUGGACCAUUGAGAAAUAACGUUCCAUAUUUUUCUAUCUAUGGAAUUUAUGUGCACCCGCAUACAGCUUUCCAAUAACUAUUAAUUUUUCACCAUUGAAACGGGAGCUAUUUAUAAGCCCCUUUGGUCGUUAGCCAUUUUCUAUCAAGUUAUAUUUGAAGCACGGAGUGAACCGGAGCUCCUGAUACCACUUGUUAGACUAUUGCACGGAUCUAGAAGGGGGGGGGGGGUUGAAUAGAUCCAAUAAAAUUUGAGUCGGCGCUACAAUUUAAAUUUGGUUUGAAGAUUUGUUUUAAGUGCGGAAGCGACCGAGGAAUAUAUAGUCUAAAACGAACUGUUAUUGAAAAACUGGAUAUGCGUCAAGCCUAUGGAUUAGUGAUAAUGUAGAAUACGAAUUACACUAGUCACACAAUCAAUGAUUUUGUUUCACUUACUAGGAUUCCUAGUUCCAAUGAUUCAAAGAGCAAACCAAACUGGAUACACAACUAAGAUAAUUUUGGUUUAGGCAAAUUAUCAAACACUUGGUGUGGCAAAAACACUCCAAGUGAUAUUUAUAGUUGAGUAAGAGAUUUCAAUUAGUCUAGUACAAUAUUUUAUUGUACUUUUGAAUUCAAAAACAAAGUUUAACUUCUUACUCAAUUAAUAUCAGUUUGAUAAAAGUGCUUAUACAAAAAUCACUUAAUUUUUAAGCUAAAAACAAUAUGCAGAAAAUUAGAGAAGCAAGAUUUGAUGAGGCAGUUCCCCCGUCGUCCUCGCUUCGGGGUACGUCUGCCCUCAAUUCUAAAACUAGAAUUGAGAUGAUUUAAUAGAUAUCACCUGUUGAAUUUAACCGUUUAUACAAGGAUUGCAAAGCAAAUAUACAACAGAACUCUUAAGACGUUGAAUGUUGCUUCCACUCCUUGUUCCUUGAUUCAAGGUGAAUCAAGUCCUUCGAUUGUUGUUGAUAAACCUCCGUUUCCAGCCCCUUUGUUGAAUAACCCUCAGUUCUUCAAACCCUCGGCCAUAGCAGGACUAUGCGUCGACGUAUGGCCUGCAGUUUUGGUCAGACUAAAAAAUACAUCAGUAUGCGUCGACCAUAGGUCGGCGUGCGCUGACCCGUGGUUCAUGCGCUGACCCCCGCGGUCGACGCAAGCAUCUUGUACGCUGACCCGUGGGAAAAGCAAUGUGUUCAUGCGCUGACCCGUGGGGAAUGCACUAUGUUAUGUGCCGACCCUACGGUCGACUCAUACCCUGCAGAUCUGCAAAAAAUCAGAUUUUUGUGGUUUUCAUGCAUUUUGUCAUGACCAUAUUUUAUCCACAUAUGUUGUAUAAAAUAUAACAGUAUAGAUGGGCAUAGAAAAGGAUAUGAUAGGUGAUAUGUUGCAUUUGUUUUGUAGAGGUGGAAUCGACAAUGCCGAUUCAUCCAUGGUGGUCAUUUGUCAUCAUCGAAACCUAUGAUUGUAUGUUGUAUGACAGUUUGCCUUUACACCCCGUUCUCCAGAAAAUGCCCAGGACUUCCUUUUCUCCAUUUGAACCCCAAUUUUCGCGUUAAUCGCGUAACGUUCUCCGAUCUUCAUUUCCAUCUCCGCCCGACGGAAUCUCUUCCUCCAAUAUCGCGCUACUAGGAACAAUUGUUGAUCCAACGUCACGAUGCUAAACUCCUCAGAGUAACAUCUUCACCAACCAGCUAAACCAAUUCUCAAAUGGUAACCACGGCUCGAGACUAGCUUAUGCUUGCAAUGCCAGUGCAUGAAUUUUACAGCGUAAUGCUCCAUAACCAUGGAAAUGCUACGCAAUUAGUUAUGCAAUAUGCUAUGCUUCUCUAAAUGAUGAAUGCAUAAAAAGUAUCCCCCUCAAGGGACGGCACGAGCAACUCUGUUGAGGAACUCGAUAUCACUCCAAUCUCCAACCCUACUUGGGAUGACACUGCUGCUGGGGAAAGGAUAAUCCCCACUAGGGAUAACCUCCACUGAACUCGAUCCGCUUGGGGACUUCACUGGGGAAGAACUACCAACGCACACCCCUGCCGGGGAAACAGCAACCCUUCAGACCUGUUGGGGAAAUAACAACCUUAACCCUGCUAGAGGAGACAGCAAACUUCUGGCCUGGCUGCCGAGGAAACACCGACCUCAAACCUGCUGGGGAAACACAGAAUUUUUGACACGAAACACCUGUCGACUCGUCGAACACUGAUAUUCACCAUCUAACCACAGUGUCAACUUUCCACUUCUUCAGACUUUGAAGAGUCUUCUUGAUUAACCCUCUAGGAUCGUCAUCAUCCUUUCGUCGUCUUUACACCAUUCUUCAACUCCUUAUCCCUGAUUGGACCUCAAAGGAAUCUUUUGUCAAAAGAAAUGGUUCGCACCACAUCCUGCAAGUGAGUGAAAAUAACCAACAGCACCUGCAAAAGAGAUCGUUAGAUAAAACGUGCCCCAGGCGUGCCAAAAUUUCAACACCAAGGUCACUCAACCUUCCGAAUAAGAUUUCAAGUUUUAAUCCUAUAAGCAUGCAUUGGAAGGGACCCCUAUGUCUCAAAAUGCACAGAUUCUUAUCAAAAUAAACGGAUGUUUUUGCAAUCAAAGCGGUAAUGAAAACAAAAACAAAAUUAUUUGACUGAAUAUGCUUUUUAUUGAUUGAAAAAGGUGGCUCGUAACUGAGCAAUACACAGGAAGUAAUCCCUGAAAAGAGGUAAUUGCGCACAAAAGGAAAAUUUAUCCUAAUGGCAAUGUGAAACCGUGAUCUCAUCGAGUUCCAACCCGGUUACAACCCAUAUGUCCUCAAGACUCUCCACGCUUUCUGUCUUCCGAAACAAGACGCUUCCGACCGAUCUCUACCUUCAGAUUAUCCAUGUGUCAUAUCCACAGUACAAACGAUCAUGCUAAAAGCAGUUGUUCGUUUCAUUCCCUCUUUUUCCUGGACCGCCCUUUCGGGUUUUCAGUCCACCGGGAUACCCUUUUUUGCCCAAGCCGCCCUUGUGGGGUUUUUGACUUGCCGGGUGUACAGUUUUUUUUAUCUUUUUAUCCCUAAUUUUUGGCCGAACCCUUUGUUCAUUUUUUUGGUUCGCCGGGAUGCCCAUUUCUGCCUGGACUAUUUUAUUCUUUUCGUCCAGCGGGUCUCUUAUACGAAGUAUUUUUUAACUGCGUCCGUAUUCACAGGGGAUGGAAAAUCCUCACCAUCCAUGGUCGUCAACAACAAGGCUCCGCCAGAGAAAACCUUCUUGACCACGAAUGGACCCUCAUAAUUGGGUGUCCACUUGCAGUCGUCAACAACAAGGCUCCGCCAGAGAAAACCUUCUUGACCACGAAUGGACCCUCAUAAUUGGGUGUCCACUUGCCCCGACGAUCGUUCUAAGGAGGAAGGAUCCUUUUCAACACCAUAUCUCCCACAUGAUACAUACGAGGUCGCACCUUUCGGUCAAAAGCAUGCUUCAUUCACUGCUGGUACAAUUGCCCAUGACAAAUGGCCAUCAACCUCUUUUCCUUAAUCGGGCUCAACUCUUCAUAUCGAGUCCUUACCCACUCAGCCUCUUCCAAUUUCACAUCCAUCAGGACUCUCAAUGAAGGAAUCUGGACCUCAACUGGUAGCACAGCUUCCAUCCCAUACACCAGCGAGAAAGGCGUUGCCCCAGUAGAUGUAUGCACUGAGGUUCGAUACCCAAGAUACAAGCUUCGUAUUCAGCCACAUUGUUGGUGCAUUCAAAUGUUAGUCGGGCAGCAAAAGGAAUGUGGGAUCCCUUCGGCGUAACCAAAACAGCACCAACUCCGCUACCAUUCAUGUUAACGGCCCCAUCAAACAUCAGAAUCCAUUCGGAUUCAGGGUCAGGCCCCUCCUCUGGGAUAGGUUCCUCACAAUCUUUCGAUUUGAGAAACAUGAUGUCCUCAUCAGGGAACUCAAAUUUCAUCGAUUGAUAAUCCUCAAUGGGUUGCUGGGCGAGGUAAUCAAACAAUACACUCCCCUUUAUUGCUUUUUGAGAAGUGUACUGGAUAUCGUAUUCAGUCAAAAUCAUUUGCCAUCUCGCAACCCGUCCGGUCAAUGCUGGCUUCUCAAAUAUAUACUUGAUCGUGAUCCAUCUUGGAAAUCAACAAAGUGUUAUGAACCAGCAUAUACUGUCUCAGUUGGCGAGCAGCCAUGCCAAAGCGCAACAAGUUUUCUCGAGCAGUGAAUAUUGUUUUCACAGUCGUAAACUUUUGCUAAGGUAGUAAAUUGCGUGGCUCUUUUCGACCAGACUCGUCAUGCUGCCCCAAUACACACCCCAUAGACCCCUCAAGGACUGUCAAGUACAGGAUUAACCUGUUCGUCCUUCCACAGGAGGCAUCAGAAUCGGAGGCUCCUGCAAAUAUUCUUUUAUUUUUCCAAUGCCUCUUGGCCAAUCAUCAUUCCACCUGGACCGUUUGAUCUUUUCUCAACAACUUGAAUAUGGGUUCACACGUGGCUGUUAGAUGAGAUAUGAACGUGAAAUGUAGUUCAAUCUACCUAUGAAACCACGAACCUCCUUUUCUGUUCUCGGGUUCAGCAUUUCUUGUAUCGCUUUUACUUUAGCAGGACUCAACCUCGAUUCCUCUUUCACUUUACAAUAAACCCCAGCACUUACCGGACCGCACUCCGAAAGUGCACUUAUUCGGAUUCAACCUCAAUUUGAAUUGUCUCAACCGGUCAAACAAUUUGGCCAAGUCUACCAGAUGCCCCUCUUCUGUUUGGGACUUUGCUAUCAUGUCAUCAACAUAGCAUUCGAUCUCAUGAUGAAUCAUAUCAUGAAACAAAGUUACCAUAGCUCUUUGAUACGUGGCACCGGUGUUCUUGAGACCGAAUGGCAUCACCUUAUAACAAAAAGUACCCCACGGUGUGAUGAACUUUGUUUUCUCCAUAUCAUCUGGCGACAUUUUAAUUUGAUUAUAGCCAGAAAAGCCAUCCAUGAAGGAAAACACCGAGAAUUGAGCUGUAUUAUCUACCAACACAUCGAUGUGAGGUAAUCGGAAAUCAUCUUUCGGGCUAGCUCUGUUCAAAUCCCGGUAGUCCACACACAUCCCCACCUUUCCGUCCUUCUUCGGUACUGGCACAAUGUUCGCGACCCAAGGCAGAUAAAUAGUGACAACUAGGAAACCAGCAUCCAACUGCUUUUGCACUUCCUCUUUGAUUUUCAUGGCCAUCUCGGGUCGAGUUCUGCACAACUUCUGCUUCACUGGAGGACAAUCUUCUCUCAAUGGCAACCUAUGUACAACAAUAUUGGUAUCCAACCCUGGCAUAUCUUGAUAAGACCAGGCGAAGAUAUCAACAUACUCUUUUAACAGCGCUACCAUUCUGCUCUUGACAUUCACCUCCAAAGCGGCCCCAAUUUUCACUUCCUUUCUGACCUCCUCGGUACCCAAAUUAACAAUCUCAACUCGCUCCUCAUGCGGUUGAAUCACCUUCUCCUCUUGUUUCAACAACCUGGCUAAUUCUUCCGGCAGUUCACAAUCUUCUUCGCCUUCUUCUUCGGCAUGAUAGAUCGGGUUGUCGAAGUCAUAUGAGGGUGUAACAGGGUUGUUAUCAACGAGAUCCGGAGAAUGAUCGCAUCUGCAUGAAUGUUGAUUCAUGCAUUGCUUUUAGAACCGGAACGAAGCAAAUUAAAAGGAAGAAAAAUGAAAACAAACAUUGCCAUUUUUUAUUUUAUUUUUAAACUGCAAAAAUAAAUGAAAAACAGAGAACACUGCUUCUAAUGCGAAAAACAUCCAUGUAUUAAUGAUGCAAAUGUUGCAAAAUGAAACACAUGAGGUGGCCCUUACAAUGGACCAUUACGUUUCGGGCAAAACGUAUGGCUUUCAUGCAAACAGAAUUGAAAAACAGAAAUAUUACUCUUCACGACGUUUCGGGCAAAACGUAUGGCUUUCAUGCAAACAGAAUUGAAAAACAGAAAUAUUACUCUUCACGCAGAGUGACAGUGAUGAUCUUUUCGGCCUUCCAGUUCUGGAUCUCCAUCCCUGGUACGCACAAUUUUAUCCACGAGUCGAGCUCGCAGUCACUGUCAGUCUCUUCACCCACUGCACAGACGCGAUCUGGAUCUAACAUUCCAGCACUGGUGAACGUGAAUGGUUGACGACGUCCUCUAUUCUGUCCAGACGAGCCUUGGCCCGACUGAUAACCAAUCCCAAACCUGUCCUCUUUCGCCGUAAUGUCUAUUAUUCUUCCCCAACCUGGGGCCUCUCCCCCAACCGGUUAGCGUUGAAUGGAUCCAUCAGUCUGGGCUUGUUACGUCUGGUAAAGUAUCUGUGCGGACGAGUUACGUGCAGAGGAAUGACUCGGUGUGCUCGAGCAAUGAUUCCUAAGUCAAUCAAACAUGUUAGAUACUGACACCUGCAAAAUAGAAGACAAGUUAUUAUGAUUCAUGCAUGAAUGCAAUGUCUAUCCGUAUGAGGAACAUUUUGUCCUUCGAUCCUGGCUUCAUUGAGACGAACAUGUUAGAUACUGACACCUGCAAAAUAGAAGACAAGUUAUUAUGAUUCAUGCAUGAAUGCAAUGUCUAUCCGUAUGAGGAACAUUUUGUCCUUCGAUCCUGGCUUCAUUGAGACGGAUAAUAAUUCGACGGUAACAUUCUGAUAUCAAUCAUCUGGCUUUGCCGUACAGAACAGAAAGUUAUGAAGAUGUCUCUCAACCAGAAUCUCAAUCAAGAAUGUACCCCGCAUAUGGAUAAACAUGAGUUAGAUGCGGAUGAAUGCAAAAUGGGAAUGAUGCAGAUGCAUGUAUGCAAUUCAUGGUGCCGUCCUCCAAGUCAUCUUAACAUCAACUGUACUGGAUUCCGGUCUCUGAACUGAUCACAACCAUUUGAGGGAUUAAUUAACCACAAAUCCAACUCGGGGAUUCCGAAAUAAACGGAACCGGAGGAUACAUCACCAUCAUCACAGGACAAUCACUGAACGAAUAACAACAAAAUCAUCUGAACAAGUAACCUCAAAUCCAACUCAGGGGAUCCGAAAUAAACGGAACCCGCUCAUAAAUACCGCGGACAGAACUCCAGCGUAUCAGAAAUAAAUAUCCAUAAAUCCAACUGAACCAAUGUCACCAUCACAAAAUCACUGACAGAACCUGUUUUUGUAAUAAUCAAACCCCUCCCCUCACAGGUGAAUUCUAAUAAGGUCAUCCUAAGGCGGAUAAUCGGUCUCGACAAUCGGAUAAGAUACUCAACGGGUUUGCCCUUUCGGGUGUGCCAUGCAGCUCUCAUAAGAUCAUCUAAACCAAAGAUCCGGGAAAGAGCGGUCACCGAAGUCAACAGCUCAAAAGAGAUAACCCAACCAUAGUGGAAACUCCACAAGGAAGAGUUCUCUCAGAAGAACCUCGUCCGGCUAUGGUAUGUCACGUCUCAACAUCAUGUUGAUCCAACAUAAGCAGAGACAUGAGACCACACUAAUCCUAGGUGUAUACUCGGGCUUUGGGUUUCAGCCCCACUCAGAACACCCACCCCAAAAUCAGAGGAACCACACCUGUCCAGAAUCAAGCACAGUGAUAAUAUGAUGCAUGCAAACAUAUAUUCAAAUAUAUACAAUCACAAUAUAAUAAUCACAAAUGCAAUAAAUAAGCAGUAAAAGCAACUCAAACUACCCUAGAGAGCGCUAGGAUUGACUCGCUUAGGGAAGAUGGACCAGCAAGGGGUCAACUUCUGUCCCCAGCAGAGUCGUCAGCUGUCGCAACGCGAAAAACAACCGGCGGAAAAAUUACAGAUUACAGAGCCACCACCGACGUUAUUCAUCCUAUAACGGAAAGGGAGCGCAUGACUAACCUAAGAAAGGGAAAGGAAUGGUCUUACGACCAGAGAUUACAAGGUACGGGAGUCGGUUACGCAAGGGGAAGGUAUUAGCACCCCUCACAUCCGUCGUACUCGACGGGAUCCACGCUCAAAAGAUAGCUCAAAGAGUAAGAAAAGGUUGCUAAUAAAACUGCUCAAAGAAAAUGCACAAACUGGAAUAAAAAACAGGUGGGAGGAAAAAACAGAGGAAGUGGACUCGGCAGGAUGUCGCAUCCUAGGCCUACGUAGUUUGUCAGAAACAAACAUCAGAGUCAACGUAGUUCGGGGAAAGGGAGACAUGCUCGCUAAGACAUCGCGUCCUAUGCCUACGUAUCUUCUCUAUCUAGAGGAGAAUCAGAGCACUCGUAGCUCGGCUAAUGCACGCCGAAACAAGACACUAAAAAGGAGACGCUGAGACGUCAAAUAAAACACCCAAAAGGAAACAGAUUUCCAAUACAUGGACUUACACCCGACUCCUGACAAUAACCAAACAAAAGGAAACAGAAUGCCAAUACAUGGACUUACAUCCGACUCCCAACAACAGCAAACAAAGAGGAAACAGAAUGCCAAUACAUGGACUUAUAUCCGACUCCUAACAAUAACAAAUAAACAGGAAACAGAAUGCCAAUACAUGGACUUAUAUCCGACUCCUAACAAUAACAAACGCUAACCAGCGAACACCAAAGAAAAAGGUUAUCAGAAUGAACCCCAACAAAGUAACCAAAUAUCCAAAGAUGAACCCCAAAGAUGAACCCCAAGUGAAUAAUCACCACAAACGUCGCAAACGAACCCCAAGUGAGUGACAACCGUCACAAAUAAACCCCAAAGAUGAUAACCAUCAUCACAAACGUCGCAAAUGAACCCCAAGUGAGUGACAACCGUCACAAAUGAACCCCAAAGAUGAACCCUAAAUGAUACAGGUAAACCCCAAUAUGAACCCCAAGUGAUACAGGUAAACCCUAAUAUGAACCCCAAUAUGAAUGACAACCGUCAUAAAUGAACCCCAAAGAUGAACCCCAAAUGAAUCUCAAAGAUGAACCCCCAUAAGGUAUAAACAUACCACACACGCCCACGCUGGGCAAACAAGUACUCACACCAAAACAAAGAAGAGGGUGAACACACGCAAACAACACAACAUAAAAGAAAAAGGGUGACCACACACACAAAAAAACAAAAGGGUGCCCGGAGAGAUUGCUCACAACCUCCUGCCUACGUAUCUCAUCUGGUAUGAGAAUCAGGGCGACGUAGUUCCCCUUAACAGGGGAAAGGAGACAACAAACUAAAUAGGGAGACUAAGACUCGAGCCUAAUAGUUUGUCAUGCCAACAAUAUCCCUAAGUCGGGAAUAAGGGUGAUGAACACCACAAAAAAACAAAAGGUGCCCGAGAGAUUGCUCGCAACCUCCUGCCUACGUAUCUCAUCUGGUAUGAAAAUCAGGGCGACGUAGUUCCCCUUAACAGGGGAAAGGAGACAACAAACUAAUAGGGAGACUAAGACUCGAGCCUAAUAGUUGUCAUGCAAUCAAAUAUCCCUAAGUUAAGGUCUCUAACAAGAAUCCUACUUCCUCAAAAAUCAAUCAUACAACUCCUACAAAAAUGGAGAUGAGAAGAGGAAAGCAGAUAAACACACCAACACAAGUGAACAAGCAUCACACACUAUAUCCAUACAAGAGGCCCAAACAAUGGGUAGGCUUUAGUCAAGAGAUGUCAUAUCAACCUCGACAAACAAGCCAAACUGUAAGGGUAAUCAACUGGGCUCUUAACCACUGACAUUGAACGUCAGGGUGAGCAGAUCAAAAUGGUAAUAAGGAUGAGACCUCAUAGCUCUUAACCCUGGCCAGGGUGAGCUCAUGACAAAGAAAGCGUGGGGAUCCAGAAAGUGGGAUCCUAUUCCACUUGACAGACUCUGGACAAAGAUCUUGGGUACAUGUUCAAAAGCAUCAGCACGUAGUGCGAGCAUAAAGAACGACUCACUGAAUAAUGUACCUGUACAAAAGCUAAACAGUUAAUAUUUCAGUCAGAAAACCAACAGACAAACAGUGAAACCAUUCAUAAUUACACAACUCAAUGAACAAUGCUCAAGCAAUCAAAUGAGGCAAUGAGCUCAAUUUGCAUCUCAAAAGGUGAGCAACUCAACCAUUAAUGCUAAGUGUCCAAACCUGAAACACAAGACAAGGUUAGUUCAUGUACAAAACACUAGUACAAAGACUAGGUCCAAACCAAACCAAAUGAUCCAAACAGAAGUCAAUCUUUUACAUAAUGCACAUUCAAACAUGUCACAAAAUUUCCUCAAAAGGACCAGCCUCCAUUCAUUAAGCAAAUGCAUCAAAUGGCUUGUGUUAUGCAAUGACAAACAAAUGAGUACAAAAUGGACAUCCACAUUAGAAAAUCCAAAUCAAAUCAGAAAUGCAUGCAAUGACCUUGAAAUUUUUUAUGCAAGUUCCACGUAUCAUGAAUGAUCAACAUGCAAAAUAUCAAAUCCAGAAAGAUUCAAAUGCUAUGUGAACAAAAAUGUGACAAUCCAAUGCCAAAAAUGUGACACAAAUUGUCACAUUUUUCUUCAUGUGUCAAAAGUGAUGAUAGCAUAUGAGAAAAAUUCCAAACCAAUGCUCAAAAAUUCACAUCAUGUAUGAUCAUUAAGCAUGCAAAAAAUCAGAUCAAUUGGAUCAAAGAUGAAGAUUUCACAAAGCAAUGAAUGCAACAUAUCAAAAUAGCAUGGCAUGGAUCAAAAAAUUCACAAAUAAAAAUCCAGCAAACAACAAUUCAUGAAAAUAAUAUCAAAAAAAAAAACUAGACAUCAAAACAGAACUAUGAAAAAAAUUUGGAGUUAAUUUGGAUCAUUUUUCAAUUUUUAAUGAUUUUUCAAAGUAACUACAAUAAUAUGAAAUCACAUGGAAAUAUGGAGGGAAAAGAGAUAUUUCAAAUAAUACUCAGAAUAUUCACAUCCACACGAUCAGGCGCGAGAAUCACAUCAACGGUCCAGGUUUGAACAU